GAGCUAGAAGCUCUUCAGGACUGGGAAUACAAGUUCAUGAGCAAAUAUGCUAAGGUUGGUACUGUCAAAGUGGCCGGUUCAGAACCUGAAACCGCAUCUGUGUCUGAACCCGCAGAGAAUGUUGACCGAGAUGCUCAUGUAACCACAACGCCUGAGAAUACCGCUGUUGAUAAGAGUGAUGAGGCUCCUGCUGAGACUGAGUUGAAGGAGUAGAGCCCAUUUCCAAGAUUUGCUCUGAUUUUUCAUAGAGACCAGUUUUAAGAAAGGAUUGUAGAAUCUCUAUUGUUGAAGUGUCAAUGAUAAUCUUGUUUUACUUUCCCAAAAAAUAAAGAUUGCUGAUUAAUGAUAAGACAAAAGGUUUUAUAAACUGCUCAUAUCAGAAGGCGUUGCAUUGCAAGAUUAUAAGUUGGUCAAGUUUAUACUUGUGGUCUAUGAAUCAAUUGUAAUCCUCGAUGUUUAAGACUAAGGGCAAAGAAGACAGUUGACCACGUUCUUCUGAGUGUUCCUUGCAUUGCAGUCGCAGAUAUGUGCGCUCUUGAGGAUCCCCUCAGCAAUAGGGAAAUCUCGGUGUCGUCGGUAUUUGCAAAUGUGGAUUUUCUAUUCUUGAAACAACCUGGCUCUUCAAAAGAUUUGACCUUUCCAUGGAUUAUUUGAUACAUUUGGAAGGCACGUAAUGAUAAGAUUUUUAAUGGAGUGGACAUAUAAGUGCACAUGAUGUUGUUAAGGUAAAGAUACAGUAUGAGAAACUGCAUAGCUGCAAAAACAUAACAAGUAACUUUGAACAACAGUCUUUAUUACGAAAACCCGAGUUCCAGGGUGAUAAGUGGUUUAUAGAUAGUUCAUGGAAUUCAUACAAAAAAACAAUAAAAAAGAUAGUUCGGACUGAUAUUUUUCAAAUAUAGGUUGGAUCGGCUUUCGUAACGACAUAGAAUGAUCUCUUGUUAGAGUUAAGAAUCUACGCAUAAGCGGUAAGCCUUUCUCCUAUGCACUCAGAGUUGGAAGAACUACUUUGGGCCAUAAUUUGUACGAGCAUAAAAGUACAUCACUACAUCAGUAACUAUCUCAACGGGCAGUUCAUAACUUGAAAAUUUGACAACUUCCUCAGUAUAUUAGCCAACUUUCUCAACAUAUAUAUUUUGAAGAGUUUACAAGACUCAAGAAAACAUUUUAUCUCUUCUCGGUUUUUGUCAUUCUUGUAAUUUGAGUUGUCUCGCAAACUGGUUAGCAUGUAGUUCAACACUGCGUUUUCAUAGAAUCAUAGUUUCAUUAACGUAAUAAUAAUAUACAGUAUAUACUAUAUACCAUCUAUUGGGAUAAUCGAACCAUUUUAAUGUAAGUAUUUCCGUCGACAAAAAAAAUAAUCUAGUUAUACUCCUUGUUCAAAAAAUCGCUAGGCGUUAGUUGGGCGCUCAAGCUGGGCCUAGCGCCUAGCCGAAAAAUCGGAGAUUAAGCGGGGAUUAAUCGAGGAUUAGUUUUUAAUAUUUUUUACUUAUAUAUUGUAUAUAUAUUAUUCUGGCGGAUUAAAAUUAAUAAUGUUAGAUGGUCCAGUGGUUGAAAGCGUUUUUCCUCAUUUUCGGGUGGCGAGUUCGAGUAGACGUAGUUACAUUUAUGUUUAUUUUAGGUUUAAUUGAUAGUGAAUGACCAAAAUACCCUCGUCUUCAACCUUUGAAAAACGAGAUCUGUAACCCUAAAUCCGCCGCCACCUAACUUUUUCUUCAUUUUUCAUCGUUUCUUUUUGUUUCUUCUAUUGUUUAUUGCUAGAUAUGCUAGAUCCAUCAACUAUAUAUGAAUUAAAACCUUCAAAAGAACAAAAAAUCAAGUUUUUUCAAAAGUUCCGAUUUUUAAGCCGAUUAUACCAUAAUCCCGGCGGUGCCUUGCCGCCGAGCGACUAGCCGCCGCGAAAUCGGCCGCCUUGGCCGCGUUUUUGAACAAGGGUUAUACUGAAUUUUGGUUAUAGGCGAUCCAAAUGGGCUGGACCUAGACUUAUGGGCUUAAGAUAUCUUUUCCAAGCUGUCAUGAUGAAUACGAUUAUUGUCUCAAGUGUCACGAGAUAUUGAAAUCGUCAAAAUAAGCCAAACAUUCACCAAGAUAUCAACGCACAUGUAGUUAUUAUAUAGCAAUAGUAUUCUAAAACGUAAUGGACCGUCGAUCGACGUGUACUUUUUGCGUUCACUUUAUUUGUCUUCAAAACUAAAAUGAAAAUCAUAAAUAAAGAGGUCAAAUAUUACCCACGUAGGAGUUGAGAUCUACGAUGACCAAACUAAUCGUUAGGAAAGGUUUCAAAAUUUGAGGUUCUUAUACCACCAACGCUAACGUAGUGCUAAUCUCGUGUUUCCAUUUCUUCCUCCUUUAAUGCUAUUUCUAUCUGCACCAUUUUAUUUUUUCUUUUGCUUCAUUAAAAUAAAAAUAGUUACGAAUUACAUGAAAUAAAAUCUAGAUUUUGGUUUUGUGAAAAAAAAUAUGGAAGCAAAUAACCAAUUAGUUUAUCCACAUCAAUAAAAGUAGUAACGUUUUCCGAUAUAUUUUUUUCUUCCAAAUGAAAAAAUAUUGCAAGUUGGUGUACUUCCCAUACUUAUCCUUAUCCCGGUGCUCUAACUUUUUUCCUCUGUAAGAAAAGCUCUAACUUAAGGAGUGAUCAAGAUAAUAAUCAAGGUGUUUAAUUUUACUGUAAAAGAUAGACUCUUAACCAGUUAUAAUCACUACAAUGAUCAAAGAUCAUAGUUUGAGCUAGUGGUUGUUUAGCCAUGUGCAUGGUCUCAUUUUGAUAGAUUAGCCUUUUGGAUUAUUUGAACAAAAACACUAAAAAAAAAAAUGUAGCUAAUUUCCAUAGAUCAGAUUAUUUUUCUAGUUGGAACCAUUGGAGAACAACAAGUACCAAUAACCAAUGACGUGAAUGCAUUUCCAUUUAAAAUCACACAAAAGAAAAGUUUCAUGUAUCAUGAAUGUAGCAAAUUCCAUUUAUAAAUAUUUGGCUUAGCUAAAAUUCUUAUACAUGGUUUCUUCUUCAUCUUGUAAAAAAAUAAAAUAAAGAUAUAUAAACCAUGAUACCUAUAUAUGCAUUUAUAUUAAACUAAAUAUACCCCACUUUUUUUUUGUUUUCGAUCGUCAACAAAUAAACCCACUUUAUAGCGCUUAUAUACACAUCACACACACAUAUGAAUGUGAUGUAAAUAUAGUUUCUUGUGGACCUAACAAAAACUAGUCGUAACUCAUUCAUGGAGGCUUUGUUCUGCUCUGAGAUACCCAACAACAACAUCAGAUCUUCCAUUAACGAUCUCUCUUCUUCUUCAUAUACAUGGCCAAUGAUUAUGACCUCCUCUUCUACUUCUUCUUCAUCUCCCACAAUCAUGAACAUAGAGAACAUUCCUAGAUGCGACUGGGAUCUCUCUCUCUCCGCCGUCGUUUCCUCCGCAUCCACCGGAUCAGACGCUAUCGGAGCAAUCGAGUUUGACCCUACCGGAGAGAUCAUAGCUACUGGAGGGAUCGCGAGAAAGAUCAGAUCGUAUCGUUUAAGCUCUUUGUUAGAGUCACGUGACGAUCACGUAACAGCUUCAGAUAGCUGUAUCUACACGCCAGCGAAGCUUAGUAGUCUGAAAUGGAGACCCGAUCUAUCCGGUCGGGUUAUCGGGUCAGGAGAUUACGACGGAGUUGUCACAGAGUACGACGUUGAGAAACAAGUGCCUGUUUCCGAGAGAGACGAGCAUGGAGGUAGAAGGAUUUGGAGCGUGGACUACACUCUCUACAAUGGCUCUCUUAUAGGCGCGUCAGGCUCCGACGACGGAACGGUUCAAAUGUGGGAUCCACGUAACGGAGGGACGUUGGAAGAAACGGUUAGGCCCGGAGGUGGCGCGGCGAUUUGUUCGGUAGAGUUUGAUCCGUUCGGUGGAUCUUCCAUAGCCGUUGGAUGUGCUGACCGGAAUGCUUACGUGUACGACAUCAGACGACUCGUUGACCCUUUGAUCGUAUUAGACGGUCAUACCAAAACGGUGACGUAUGCUCGGUUCAUGGAUUCUCACACGAUCGUUACCGGUUCGACCGACGGGAGCUUGAAGCAAUGGAAUAUAGAUAAUGGACGGCGCGUGGUUCGCACGUACCGAGGGCAUGUUAAUAGCCGGAACUUUGUUGGGUUAUCGGUUUGGAGACAUGGUGGUUUGGUCGUGUCUGGGUCGGAGAAUAACCAAGUGUUUGUGUACGAUAAGAGGUGGGAGGAACCGGUUUGGGUUUGUGGAUUGGGUCAACCGGACCGGUUUGGGGCUGACCGACGGUUUGUGAGUAGUGUUUGUUUGAGACAAGUGGAUGAAGACUGGUGCACACUUGCUGCUGGAGGAUCCGAUGGGGCUUUAGAGAUUUUCUCGGGCAAACGGAGCUAAUUAGUAUUUAUAUUAUUUUUUUCUGCUCAUGAUUGAUACAAACUGUUUUUCAGUUGAUUUUAUAAACGGUCUAUAGCUAUUAAUUUUAACUAAGACUCAGGAUCCCCGCGACAUCGCGGGGGAAUAUAUUUCAAAAAUCAUUUAAAAAAAUAUCAAACGAAAAAAUCAUAAUGAAUUGUAAUAAUUUUGAAUUUUUUAAUAACAAAUCAAUAUAUAUUUUACAAAAAUUAUGAUAAAGAAAAUCCUCACAAGCAUUUAUUAAGUAUAUUAAUAUUAGAAAAACAAUAAUUUGUAACUAAAAAACUAUUCCCAAGUGCAAAAAGCAUAAACUAAUAAACCAAAUAUUACAAUGGUUUGAUAAAUAAGCCAAAACGUUCAACGUCAAAUAAACCAAAUGCUAUUGUGUUAAAUUAAACGGUAACAACAAUUCAUUUAAAUAUAUCUUAGUAUUUAAAUAUUUUUUAAAAAUAUGACGAACUUAUCCGAAAAACGAAACCGUAGAUAUCAAAUAUUCCAAAAACUACAACGGUUCGUCAAUUAUACCAAAUGUUGCAAUAGUUCAUCAAAUAUACUAAAGAUAACAAUGGUUCGUAACACAAAACCAAAAGUUGCAAUAAUUCGUCAAAUAAUCCAAAUGUUGAAACAGUUCAAUUAAAUAGUUACAAUCUCAUUUAAAUACAUUUUAGUAAUUAAAAAUUAAGAAUUUAAAUAAUAAUUUAUGAAAUGUUACACCGAGAGACGCGGCGGUAGAUAAUUAAAUGUUAUAGCUAUGUAUAAAAUAAACCAAAAAUUACAAUUGUUCGUGAAAUAAACUAAAUAUAUAAACCAAAGGUUGCAAUUGUUCGUAGAAUAAACUAAAUAUUGCAAUGAUUCGAAUAAGCGGUUUCAACUGUUUAUGAAGAGUUACAAUAAAAAACGCAACCGUAGAAAAUAUUCAGAAUGCAAUUUAUAUAAAAAAAACAUAACCGUAAAAUAUAUAUUUUAAUUAAUAAAAAUAUUAACGAAAAGUUGCGAUAAAAAGACGCAACCGUUCAGAUGUGCAAAUGGUAUUUAUUAGAUUGCUAUUAUAUAUAGAUUUGAUUGAAUGUUACUACUUUUCUAAGAAGUUCUUAAAUGAGAAUUAUCUUGUUCUUUUUUUUUUUUUCUUUUUUUUUUUUCGUCCGAAAUUAAUUAAAGCNNNNNNNNNNNNNNNNNNNNNNNNNNNNNNNNNNNNNNNNNNNNNNNNNNNNNNNNNNNNNNNNNNNNNNNNNNNNNNNNNNNNNNNNNNNNNNNNNNNNUCCGCCUUAACAUUAGUACUACGAGAAAUUAAAGAUAAAGAAAAAAGAUGAAAACUCCUCCUUGUCGCUCUGAAAUUCCUCCAAAUACACUGAAAACGCCGGCCAUUCGGUUGGAGAAGACACCAUCUUCAACAGGUCUGAAUAGUCUGUAAAGAACGCUACUUCUUGAUUAUCUGCACCAAUCAUACACUUCAUCGCCCAGAGAAGGGCCUCGACUUCGGCAUGUAGUGGAGAUAGACUUCUACGGAGGUUCGCAGGUCCCAUGGUUGGCGGCUCUCCAUUUGACGAUGUACAGAACCAGCCUGUACCGGAAAACUUAUCACUUUCUUUCCAUGAUCCAUCCACAAAACAACGCUAUCCCGAAUACUCCGCCUCAAGUGAAACAUCCCUCACUCGAAUUCGAUCUGGUUCUCUUUCUUACUUUUCUAUUUUUUAAUAUUAUUUUUACAUGAACAUUUCAAGUAGUAGAUACCAUGAAUGAAGUUGACUUUUAAGUGUUAGUUUUUUUUAAUUAUGGUUUUUGGUUAUUUUUGCAAAUUUCUCUUAAUUUACUUAAUUCUAAAUUUUAAUAUCUUGUUUUGCGUUGUUUUUUAAAUUUCUCGUCGGUUGAAUAUAGUUUAUGAUUAACUAUUUGGGAUAUCAAAAUUUUGGGAGCAUGUUUUAGACAAAAACAUUUUAGGUCUUUUACAAAAACAUAAUAAUAUACUUUUACUACAAGAUUAAUUUUCAUUUUGCAUUUCUUUAACUAUACUUUUGGGUUUUAAACUUAACAAGUGAAAGGAUCUCAUUAAAAUUUCAAAUAAGAGAAAUAAAAAACUUAAUUGGAGAUCCUAUGCCCUAACUUAGCUUAACUUAAGAAGAUUAAUUAAUUUUAAUAUGUAAAGGAUCUUAUUUGGAGAAGUUUCAAAUAAAUGAAAUUGGUAAAAAUACGCGGGCCGGCCCAAAUAUUCAUGAUGCCUAAAGCCCAACAAAUUUGAUGUUCAUUUACAACAAAUAAAAAUAAAAAAUUGUUAAAAUACCAUUAGACUACAAGACAUUUUUACAAAUUUGAUAUCUCUUAAAAUAAAUAUAGAAAUUGCUACCUGAUGCUUUAGGUUUGGGCCGGCCUUUGAGAUACGGUUGCUCUAAUGGAAAAACAAGUAGUAGAGAUUGAUGCAUGUUUGGGAGACAGUGUGAAAGUGACACUUACUAACAUACUACUUGAAGUAAACUCAUUCAAUGAUUAUGUGGAUUUAUACCUUGGAGCCAAUAGAUCAAGGAAGGAUCCUCUACCAAGGUGUGUUCUGUCAUCUUUUUUUCUAUAUUGCUCAUCAUUACAUUUAUGGUUAUGAUAUUCAUGAGUUUGUUGUGAUUAGGAUGACUUUGAAAGUAAAAGACAAUGGGAGAUAUUUGUGAUCUUAAGUAAGGACAAGUUUCAGCAGGUAUAGGAUGUUACAUUUGACUGGAUAUUACCUUCUUCAUGAGAACAAUGAGUCAUCUCAUAUCUCUAUUUUCUCAUGAUUCAUCUCAUAUAUGUGUUUUCAGAUUAGUUUUGUCAACUCCAUAGCCACAACCAAAGGUGGUACACAUGUCGAUUAUAUGACCACUUAGAUCAUAGACUACAUUACUAAUUCCGUGAAGAACAAAAAAGACGAAAAACGCUAAAGUGGAGACAGAUAGUGUUAAGAAACACAUGUGGGUGUUUGUCAAUUGUGUUAUUGAUCAUCUAGUAUUUGACUGGCUGAAAGAAACAUUGAUUCUUCCAGAGAGCAGUUUUGGGUCAGAAUGCAAACUUUCAAAAGAUAUUUUGAAGAAAGGUAUACACAUGUUUAAUCUGUCUUGUUGCGUCAGUGAAGUAUUCACAUGUUUAAUAUGCCUUGUUGGGUUAGUGAUGUAACGUUUACUUCCUUUGUGUUUUAUGUUUCUUCUAGAUGAGAAUCAUGGCCUAGUGAAGUAGCUUUCAUGGGAAACUUCCAAGCAUGGCAAAGAUUGUGAACUAGCAAAUCUUGGCAUGGUUCACAUCGAAAAAUUUAGAUGAUGCUAACAAAGCCGGAGGGAAAGAAUCCAGAUUCUGCACAUUGAUCGAUUAUAACAAAGGGGGAUUCCGCAAAGACUCUUAUUGUAAGUGUUCAAUAUUUAUUUUGAAUCAGGCUAGCUAUUUAAUUACUAACACUCAUUAUGCUCAGAUGACGGGGCUGUCUGUCCUGAGUGUCAAGUCUCAUGAUCUCUACGGCGUGUUUCCCCUCUAAGGAAAGAUAAUGAAUGUGAAAGGUGCCAAGGAAGAGAAGAUAAAUAAAAACAAGCAAAUCCAACCGUUAAAGACAAUUCUUGGAUUAGGGAAUGAAAAAGAGUACGGAAAUCUAAGAUAUGGCUAUGGCAUAAUCAUGAUCGGUCAUGUAUCUACAUAGUACUCCCUAUCUUUCACCCUCAAGUUCAUCAUAUUACAUAUUGCGUGUCUUAUGUUACCUUGACAAAAAAAAAUUGUUUUAUAAUCACGAUGGCUUUUAUAUUAAAGGUCUAAUAAUUAAUUUAUUUCAUGGAAUGGGCCAGAGUUACUCGAAAGGGAUCCAUCCUUCCUAUGUGAGUUUAUAACACCAAUUGUGAAGGUGAGAGAAUACGUUGAUCCUUUCAUAAUAAUAUCUUAUCUUAUUGUGUUUGACAUAAUAUAUAAGGAAUGCAUGAACAUAUCAUGCUAGAUUAUGUAUAAUAAGUGACAUUUUAGUUCUUUUUCUAUAAAUUAGUUUUUUGGGUGGAUUAAAUUAAUUAGAUUGAUUGAAUUUUUUGGUAAUUUUAGAUGAAGUUCUUCUUCUAUUUCUCGCAUAGGAAGAAGGAGAUACAUGUGAACUAUAUCUACGUAGUGUUCUCCAGAUAUGGGGCGAGUUGUAUUUAGAGAGUUGAAUAAUAGUAGUUAUUACACAUUAAGAUGUGUCUUCAACUCAAUGUAAACGGCCCAUAUGAUUACAUAAAAUUACUAGUGUAUGAAUAUUUAGAAACGUUGAGCUUUGAAAAAGCGGUAUGUAUCAUUUCAACUUUUGAAGCUAACUAAAUACAAAAAAACUUCAGUGUUAUUGUUGGGUCCAAAAACUUCAGUGUCAUUGUUGGGGUAUCAAAAUAUAUGAAAUGAUUACUAUAAAAGAUGAUAUGAGAGACUUAAUAUUUUAUCUGAUAUUAUAAACAAAAGCAUAUAUAUGUACAAAGAGAUGGAACAUAGUAGAAUUUCAAUUUGCGUUGGAAAAAGAAAAAAGAAGUAUCAAAGAGAGUGCCUAAAUUGACUUGGAAAAUGACAAGGAGAAGUCAAGUGUCCAUUUGAGUGAGAGCUUCUACUUCUACUUUUUGUUUUGGUGUACACACACCUCUUUUUCCUUUUUUUUUUUUUACUAGCUAUUGAAAAACUAGAGCUUUUGGCGACUAAAUUUAUUAUAAUUUUUUUUCUUCUUUUCUUGUCAAUAAAGAAAAAUAAUAAUAAUAAAGUAACUUGUAUUGAAAAGUGGAAGCCCCUUGGCCCAUUGGUUGACCAAUGGUUGAUUAAUGCUUCUACACCAAGAGGUUUGAGGUUCGAGUCCUAGAUAUUGCGAUUUAUUAACAAAUUUGCAGAUUAAUAGAGGCAAGUGUGCAGGAGAUCUCUAGCGAUGUACAAUUAUAGCCGUUCGCCAGGAUUUUACGCAGAGAACGACCUGUCGCCAGGUCGUUAAUCAUUGAAGGUAUUCAUCAAGAUUAUGAAGAAAGAAGUGUAGUCUGUCAUAGAUCUAAUAAGGGUCGGAAGGAAUUGUCAGUUGUAGAAUCGUCUAUGUAACAAUUCUCAUAAUUUGCAAUUAAUAAUAAAUCUAGACGACAAAAAAAAAAAACUUGUAUUGAAAAAGAUUGGAUCAAAUGAGCUAAUUUAAGAUUCAUUUUGAGUCUUAAAGAUAUGAUUUGUAAUCAAUUGACCAUUAAAUCAUGUCAUGUCAUGUUGUGUAGUUUAAUCAUGUCAUGUCAUGCAGGUUAAGAUAUUUUUGUUUUAAAUUAUGUAAUUUUAAGCUAAAAUAAAACCAGGCCCAAAGUCGAAGGAUAAAGUGGCCGAACAAAACUUUGUCACAUGCCAUGAGCCCAUGACUAUAGUAGCCCAUAUCAGAGCAUAGCCUAUCUUUAGAUCAUUUUACAUAUUUUGUCAAAAUGUUACGUACCAAGUCUUUUUCUUAAGGCAAAUAUAAAAAGAAAUAUAUGAAACAAACGUGGUUCAGAGAUGAAUUAUUAAAAAAAAAAAACGUAAGAGUCAGGACAUAUAUUGGAAACAUUUCAAUAUGGAAAAGCCAGCAAAACCCAUUUGGUCGCUGACAUGUAUGGAAAUGCUAAAUAUUCCCUCUCUCUAAUGAAUACCCUAUUUGUAAAUUUGAAAUGUAUUGUAUACUUCUAUUAUCAAUAAAAUCCAAAACUAAAUUUUAAACGUAAAAAUGUGCAGCAAAUAGGAGGGAAGUGUUGACUCACCUAACAAUAUUAAUUACAUAAAUAUCCUAACAAACAAACUUUUAUAUUGAUUAUAUUUAAAGAAAUUUUGCAUAUGGUUUUUAAAUAUAUACAUUGCCAAGUUUGGUUAACGGAAAAUCCAAUUUGUCCGAUAGGUUUUCAAAGAUUGGAUGAUUCUUCGCAAUCUUCAAUUCAAUUGUUUCAUUUUCUUUCACAAUCAUUGAUUCGGAACAGACAAAUAUUGUUUUGUCAACGUUAAGUUUUGCCUUCUAGACCAAUUUACUCGUCUAUAUGAUUUGGUCAAAUUACAUCAUUUACACUUUUACAUACCCAACAUCUUGAUCUUUUUACUUUUAAUAUAUAUCCGGAACCAAACUACCUAAGUCAAUUUUUGACAUAAAUCUGUUUGACAUUGGUAGUGUUUUUGAGUUUACUUUUGUAUAAAGAGAUGGAGACAAGUGAUAUCCACUUGGUUAAAUCAUAGAUAAUACUUUGAUUUCAAUACUAACAUCUUAUCAUCGUAACAAAGGUUUCCUUGUGAUUUCAGUUUCGUCAUAUAUUUUAUUACGUGUUAUAGACUUUCUUCAUAGAGUUAAGAAGAAGAGAACAAAAGAUAUCUGAAAGCAAAGACAAGCAAAGAUUCCUUCUUCUUUUUCUUUGUCUUAAUUAAUACUUUAUUUUAAAACAAGUGACUUGGUUUUACAACUAAUUUUUGCUUACAUAUUCCACCAGACUUUUAUCAUAACUACCUUCUAAUACUUAAUUACACAUAUUCGCAAAAUACAAAAUACACAAAUAUACACGUGUAUACAUGAAAUUUCAUUUGAGUCUGCAUACGUACAAAAUUAUAGGAUAAUAUUAUUGAAUAGCCAAAUAAAACAAUUAACAGAGAUAAAGUUUUUUGUUGCAAAAUAGUCAUGGUCCCACGUUGUCAGAUGAAGUGAAAUACCAAAACUAUCUUUUAUUUGUUGCGAGAUCAACGAUAUGCGAGACAGUUUCGUGAGAUUUUUUCAAAAUACCAUGUAACAUUUAAAUUUCAAAUGUUUAACUAAAAACAUGAAAUUUCAAAAAAUAUAGUGAAACCCUAUUUAUGCGUAAUUGUCUAUGCUCAUAUAUACUUCUCUCUGUCUGUCUUUGUCUCUCUCUCUCUCUCAUUCAUCAUUUACACAAGUUUUCUCUUAAUUAAGACGACUUGAGAAAGAAAGAAAGAAAGAAACGUGGAAGAUGACCAAAUCUGGAGAGAGACCAAAACAGAGACAGAGGAAAGGGUUAUGGUCACCUGAAGAAGACCAGAAGCUCAAGAGUUUCAUCCUCUCUCGUGGCCAUGCUUGCUGGACCACUGUUCCCAUCCUAGCUGGUUUUUUCUUUUAUCUCUAAAAUCCUAUAUUAGACUCUGAAUUCUCAUCAUGAUUGUUAAUCUCAUCCUUGUGUAAGUGAAUUAUUGUGCCAGGAUUGCAAAGGAAUGGGAAAAGCUGCAGAUUAAGGUGGAUUAAUUACCUAAGGCCAGGAUUAAAGAGAGGGACGUUUAGUGAAGAAGAAGAAGAGACCAUCUUGACUUUACAUGCUUCCUUGGGUAACAAGUAAGAGAAACCCUAAUGAAAAACCCUUUUUUUCGUCUACAAUUCACACAUGCACGCACUCCCGAGUCUGAACCAGGGUUAUGAUAUUACAAUGUUUCUUUCCUACUGAAAAAACUUCCAUUAAGUAGAUUUUCAUUUAGUUUUAUGAUUUGGGUCUAAUCAGGUGGUCGCGGAUUGCAAAAUACCUACCUGGAAGAACAGACAACGAGAUUAAGAACUACUGGCACUCUUAUCUGAAGAAGAGAUGGCUCAAAUCUCAACCACAGCUCAAAACCCAAAGAUCAGACCUCACAGACUCUUCUCCUUCUUCACUACUUUCUUGCGGGAAAAGAAAUCCGGAAACCGAAACCCUAGAUCACGUGAUCUCCUUCCAGAAAUUUGCAGAGAAGCCAACUUCAUCACCAUCCAAAGACAGCAAUAACAACAUGAUCAUGAACAACAGUAAUAACUUACCUAAACUGUUCUUCUCCGAGUGGAUCAGUUCUUCAAAUCCACACAUCGAUUACUCCUCUGCUUUUACAGAUUCUAAGCACAUUAAUGAAACUCAAGAUCAAAUCGAUGAAGAAGAAGUGAUGAUGAUCAAUAACAACAACAACUACUCUUCACUUGAGGAUGUCAUGCUCCGUACAGAGUUUUUGCAGCCUGAUCAUGAGUAUGCAAAUUAUUAUUCUUCUGGGGAUUUCUUCAUCAACAAUGACCAAAAUUAUGUCUAAAGGAAUCGUCAGUCGAGAAAAGUGAAUAUGAUCGUAAGAGGAACAUAAACAAGUUACUUGUAUUACAAGUUACAGAAACAUCUAGAUUCUUAGAUCAAACAUGAACAAAUAAAAAAUUUAUCAUGUGGAAAUCUUGGAACUCUAUUUGAAAUUGGUUAUUUAUUUUUCACGACAAUUUGUAUAUAUAGAAUAACAAUUUGUAUUUUUUUUUAAUAAAACCAAUUAUUUGUAUGGUCAGUGUGCUGUUUAUAAUUGGUUCACGUCUCUUUCUUUGUCUGUCUUCUUGUUCCUCAUUAGAGUUUACUAUUGUCGUAGACUUACUUAAACAACAUUUCAAGGUCAAAUUACUUUAACGAGUAACAAUAAUUUUAUAACUACUAGGAUGUUUCAUACAUACACUCUUCUUCUUUUGAUUAAAAUUAUUACUUGAUCAUAUCAUGGUUGAAAUUAAAUAAUCGUCCGUCAUAAUCAAGCUUGCUUUGAAAAGAACAAGAAUAACGAGAAUAAUGGUCGUCACUGGUGUCCAUUUUAAAGCAAUAUCCUGCAAGAUUUGUGAUAGAAUAAAGUAAAAUUUAAUUAACCAUAACCAAAGCCACAAAUUCUCAAUACAUUGAAGUGAAAGUGAAACUUUAGUCCUAUUUUCUUAACCAUGUUUGAAAUUUUUUCAUAUAUACCUGAAGACAUCGUGAUCUCCAAAUGGUUGAAACAGACAUUCGUGGAUCUGAGGACGCUUUUUCUGAUGUUUCUUGCAAUACGAAAAUGUUAUAAAUUUAAGUCUUUUUUAUAUUCAAAAAAAGAGGGUAAAAAAAGUUCUCUAUAAUUUCAAGAACAAUUACCUAAAAUUUGUCGUCUUUGUAUUAUAUCAUUAAAAUGCUCAGUGACUACAUUUAGUUCUUGUUUCCGUGAAGAAUUCAGCUUCGAUAGAUUAGCUUGUGUUCUCGUGUCCAUAUAUUGUUUCCUUAUUCUCCCUAUGAUCUUACCAAACCUAACGAAGCUAUAAGGUUUUGAGAUUUUCUGAAUCAGUGCUGUCUCAUCGGGCUGAUCAAGUUCCUUGCGCAGAUCCUGCAGGUAAUGAAACAAUAGCUUUCUUGGGUACGAAGAAUCAGAUAGCGCGAUGCAACAUAUCUUCUUCUCCACCAAAAAGCUUCAAAACAUGAAAGAUUAAUAACGAGUAAAUUGAAAAUUAUAGGAAAAAAAACUUGGAGAAAAUUACUAUGAAAGGAUACUGGAAAGAAUGAUGAUCGAGCAAGAUGGUCAUCUUUGGAUGCAACAAUGAGUCUUUGGAGAUUUGCUUAAGAAGGAAUUCGGCUUGUUUCUUGUAUAACAAGAAACUAGCGUUGUCUUGUUGGUUUACAUAGGUUUGAUCUUGGGCAAGAGGCAAUCCAUCUUCAACCCUACCAACUAUCGUUAGUUUCACCAUUAUCGUAUCUUGACCUAUUCAGAGAAUAGAUCAAUUUUAUGGCAUAUAUAAACAAGAAGAGGCGGAGAAGGAUUGAGGAUGAAGAUAUUCCAUUUGGGUAUGCAAAGAAACAUAGCGUGGUGGAAGAAAGUUAAUGAAUGAAAAACUUUGGGGGCGAAAAAAUUGAAAAUAAAGAUGUAAAGAUUUGGGAUAUCUUGUUCAUAAAGACAAGAAGGGGAAAGCAUAUUAGUUUUCCUUGUGUAAUUGAUAUUUUCAUUCUUCAAAGUGCAAAUAUUUAAUCCAAAUUUUGGAUUUUUUUUUUUUUUUCAUUUCGAUUUGAAUCGGUUUUACGGAUCAAAAUAUAAUUCAUCUUGGUUCAAAUUUUACAUGGUCAUUUCGAUAUAAUUUUAAAGAUUGUUUUCUCCGGGUUGAAAAACAUAGUCUUUGGAGUUAUCUACAAUAAGACAUUAGAUAGUACAUCAAUACAAUUACAAGGACGAUAUAAAUCAAUCGAAGUUUGAACACCAUUUCAAACUUAUCACGGAUGAAACCGCUAAUCGAUGAAUUUGGAACCAAAAGCAAGAAGAACCUGAAUCCUUUUGAGUCUCAAGUCAACUACUUACCCCCACACGGACGUCGUGCCACUGCCAACAAGUCAACGAAUGGAUAAUUUACGAAACAUGCCAAUGGAUCUAUUACAUGCUCAAAAAUUCAAUCUAUCUGAGCCCAAGCCGCCUGUAUAUAUAAUAUAUACAUCUAUUAGAGUAUAGUAAUACAUGUAAAUAGUUUUUACUCACAUGUAAUUUUAUUUACUAUAUAUACUGUACAUGUAAACACUUUUACACUUAAUGAGAAAUAACAAACUUUCUAAUUCUCUCUUAUCUGAUAUGGUAUCAGAGCAUAUUCGCUCUCCUUCCGCAACUCGAUUUCUCAUUCCUUGCUUCAUCUCACUACAAGAAAACUGGAUUUUAGCGACUACACUAAAAGUCGCUAAAUAGUCGCUAAAUGGUGGGUUACGACUAAAUAACGACUAAAACGUGUAGUCGUAAAUCGAGAGUCGCUAAAAUUAAUAGUCGUUAAAUUAGUCGCCAUUUAGCGACUACUUUAUGACUAAUAUUCGUAGUCAUAAAUGUAGUCGUAGAUUAGUCGCCAAAUUUAGUGACUAAUUGACGACUAUAUUGUGACUUUGGUCUUAAUUAUGUAUUUAUAUCUUUAUACAGUAUUGUAUUUAUUUAUACAGUAUUUAUGUAUUUAUACAAUAUUUAUGUAUUUAUUUCAGUAAAAUAUUUUUACUAAUUAUUUUAUAAUAUGUUUUUGGAAGGUACUGCUAUUAGUAAUAAAAAUUAUACAUUUAAAAGAAAACCAUAUUACAAAUAAAACUAAAAACAUUAUUAAAAAUAAAAUUACAUCAUCCUCCUAAAAACAUAAUUAACACAAAGCAGAUAACAAUUUUUAAGAAAGAACUUGGCUUAAUUAACUCUUUUGAUUUCAAUUCUUCUUCCUUGUCUUACUCUUUCAUGCUUUUUCUGCUCCAAAAACUGCCUCAUGGUUAUUUCUACCGGAAGAAAAUGAUGACACGCCAACAAGAUCUAUUAUCCAACUCUACAAUACAAACACACAUAAGACCAAAGCAUCAAAGGCUAUAUCAAUAUGAGCUGAAAUUAAAACAGCAAAGAACUUGACGAGAUACGCCAAAACAGUUCUUAAGCAAGCAUCAUUUAGGCAACUUAAUCUCCGGACAUCACAAUCAAGAACUUGAAUAUCUACAUUAUCCAGAGAAACAUAUGUAAAUUUAUUGGUCAGAUGGAAAAAGAUGUCCAAUCCCUAGCCUACAAGAGAAAUCGAGAUAAAGUAAGCAAAUAUCAAAACUUACCAAUCCAAGCAGUAGCAACAGAUGCUAAAGAAGUUCCAACUGCAAACACGACCAUGUGCCUCUUGAACAAGUCCUAAGUGAUUAAACAAAACUACAUUUAAGCAAUUAUACACAUAAUUGUUUGUAAAAACUUUGGUAAUCCUCCUUACCAGUAUUGAUUUCUCGUCCCAAUCAAACCUGCAACAUAUGUGAUAACAUCUCAAACACAACAUGAAGACUGAUACGACAUCACACAAUCAGACUCCUUUUUAACAUUCAACCAAUCAGACUUCUUUUUAAAACAAUCAAACAAAGAAUCAGACUUCUUUUUCAAACCAGUCUUGACUUAUUGAAAACAACCAGACUUUUUGAAAUCAAUCAAACUUUUUGAAAACAAUCAAACUUUUUAAAAACAAUCUAUCCUAAGACACACAAUCAGACUUCUAUCCUAAGCCACACAAAUCAAUAAGAACAAGCAAACAAUCAAACACACAAAACAUUUUGAAAACAAUCAGACUUCUUCUAUCCUAAAACACACAAAGCAAUCAGAAAAAACCACUAUAGAAGGGACCAAGAGUCAUACCACGUCGUGUCUGGCAACGGUGUUGGAGAGAGAACGGUUGUAAACAGAUGACGGUCCGGCACCAUAAGCAGAGCAGUCAGAGCCUCAAGCGUAUCCUCCUGGAGAUCCGGCAAUUCGUUUUGGAAGUUGUUACCUUGAGAGGAACAGCCAAACGCGUGACUCUGAGCCUCAGAGUUCUGAUGUGGAGACGGAGGAGGAUCCUGCUGUGGAGACAGAGGAGGAUCCUGCUGCGGAGAAAGAGGCUGUCGGUGUUGAGGCGUUUGCUGUGGACGCCGUCGCUGACGAGGCGCAGAUUUUUAGGUCUACGGUUUGCAGCGGUGGAACCAACGGCUCUCUGAGACGCGUUGGGAGCAUUUCUUCUCUUCCGGCCUCGCUUACCAGUCAUCUUGUUCCGGAUUUGCAGGAAACAGAGUGAAGAGACGAAGGGUCAGACGAAUUGCUUCGCGAAUCGAGGAAUUAGGGUUUGAUUUGAGGAAGUUUUGGGGAAGAAAUGGAGAUUAGGGUUCGAUUUGAGGAAGCGGAAGAGGAAGACUCGAGGAAUUAGGGUUUAAUUUGUUUGAGAGAAAGAGUAAGAAUCGAGAAGAAGAAUGAGGAAGAUGACUUAGGGUUUGCGGAAGAGGAAGAUGACUUAGGAAUUCUCGGGGUGGAGGUGAGUUUAGUUGGGCCUGGGCCGACUUCGUUUUAGUUGGGCUUGGUUUCGCUGGAUCCAUUAGCCUAGUUAUUUUUAUUAGUCGGAAUUUUGUAGCUAAAUAGUCGUUAAAGGAAUUUAGUAGUUAAGUUUAGGGUUUGAAGUAUAGGAUUUGGGGUUUAAGUUUAAGAUUUGGGGUUAAGUUUUGAUUAAAAAUAAGAUUUGGAAAACUAUAAUUUUUUAUAAGUGUUAGUUUUCAGUUUAUGGAUAUAUUAUUGUAACUAGAUAAUUUUUUUGAAUUUUGAGAUUUAAAGUUUUGUAUUUAGGUUUUAGAAAAAAAUGGUGAAGUUUGAUUAUAUAAAUAGUUAUGGAGACUAAAUAGUGACUACAAAACCACCAUAAGGUGACUAUGUUUUGUAGUCACUUUUUAGUCACCAAAUUAGCGACUUUUUUGUGACUACUUUUUUCCGUAUGCAAUGUAGUCAUAAAGUAGUCGCCUAUUUAGCGACUACAAUCAAUAGUCAUUCAAAAUAGUCGCCUAUUUAGCGACUACGAUACGACUAUAGUCGGGGUCUUAUAUGUUAGUCGUAUAAUAGUCGCUGUAUUACGACUCUUUUAAUGACUACAGUAUGUAGUCGUUAAUUAGCGACUAUUAUACGACUAUAUAAUUGUAGUCGUAACAUUAGUCGCAGAGUAGUCGUAUUUUAGUCGUAUAAAUUAGCGACUACACAAUUAGUCGCCGACCGUAGUCGGUAAUCGCCUGUUUUCUUGUAGUGUCUUCGAGCUUCGAUCUUCAUGAUUUUAGCUUGUUUUUCUUUGAAUCGACCUCCGAUUGUUUCGGAUCGAGCUUUGUUUCAACUUUUUGAGCUCCGAUUGCUCUUUUUCAUCUUUUUUUCGUUUGUUAAGCUUCGCGUUAUCUCGGCUUCGUUUCAAUGGCGAAUACGACUCGCGAUUCAUAUGACAAUCCUUAUUUUCUCACUAAUAAUGAUCAUUCUGGUUUGGUGUUGGUGUCAGAUCGUCUCACUGGCGCUAGCGAUUUUGGAUCAUGGCAUCAAUCGAUGCUCAUGGCGUUAAACGGUCGUAAUAAGCUUUGUUUUGUUGAUGGUAGUCUUCCUAAACCCGAUGAUGGCCAUAAAGAUGCAGCGACUUGGUCCAGAGUUAAUGAUGUGGUACGAUCUUGGCUCAUGAACUCUGUUUCCAAAACUAUAGGCCAAAGCGUGUUAUAUGUGAAGACUGCACAUGGUAUUUGGCAAAAAUUAUUGAAGAUCUACCAGCAAAACAAUGUUCCUAGACUCUAUCGGAUUGAACAAAAACUUGUUGGACUUCGUCAAGGUUCUUUGGAUGUUAAUACUUUUUACACAAAACUGGUUACGAUUUGGGAAGAAGUGAAAAGUGCUCAAGAUUUUCCUAUUUGUCAAUGUGGUGGCUGUGAUUGUGAUCUGAAUAGCAAAUGGAUGAAACUUUUUGAGAGAAACUUUGUGAUUAAGUUUCUAUUUGGUCUCAAUGAAUCAUAUGAAAAUGUCAGAGAAUCUAUCAUCAUGCGUGAUCCUUUGCCUGAUUUGGAAAAAACAUUGAAUCUGGUGAUUCAACAUGAACAUCAACAGGAAAUCAAGCAAACUCCUCAGGCUAGUGGUGUAGUUUUUCAGAUGAGUUCUCAGCAGGCUCCAUCUUCUUAUGAUCAAAAUUUCCAGCACAAUCCAGUCCUUAAUGAUUACUCUGGUUCUUCUGAAGUUGUUGGCGCUGUUUCAGGUGGUUAUCGACCUAAGCAACAUCCCAUUUGUACUUACUGUGGAUUGCAGGGACAUAUUGUUACCAAGUGUUACAAACUUCAUGGUUAUCCACUUGGAUAUAAGUCUCCAGCUCAGUCUUAUGGUUCUCAAUCCUAUGGUAAUCAGAAUGUUGCUCCUACUUUUGCUCCAAAGCAGUUUCAGUCUCGACCUAUUUUUGCUCCUCAACAACAGCAGCAACAACAACAUGGUCAACAAUUCAUCCCUCAUCAGGAACGAAUGCAGAGUCAGAAAGAAUCAAGAGAUAAUAUGGUUGGCAAUGUUAUUACAACAUCUCCUGCGGUACACGAUCAUUUUCACCAAGUGUCUAAUGCUUUGGCUCAGCUAUCAUCUGAGCAGAUUGCACAGUUAGCUUCUCAAUUGACUACCAAAUCCACCUGCUCUAUGCCAAGCAUUUCUGAGACUCCUGGUGUCACAUAUCCCUCUACUUCUGCAGGUAACAUCAUUUGCACAACCCUCUCAGAACCAUGCCUUAAUUUCAAUGCAUGGAUUAUUGACUCUGGUGCCACUACUCACGUGUGUUGCAACUUAAACUUGUUUGCUGACAUUAAUAGUAUUCCUGAUACUACUGUGAAAUUGCCUAAUAGUUCUCAGAUUGUUAUCAACCAAUCUGGAACUGUUUUGUUAUCAGAUAAACUUCUUCUUAAAAAUGUCCUUUUCAUUCCAUCUUUCCAUCUUAAUCUCAUCAGUGUCAGUUCCCUUCUUCAACAUUGUGCAUACUCAGUUAAUUUUUUCCCUUCCUUUUGCACAAUUCAGGAGCUUACUCGGGGCUUGAUGAUUGGUAAAGGUCAUCUUGAGAAUAAACUCUAUUUUCUGGAUACUGCAACUUCAUCUUCAUCAUCUCAAGCUCCAUCUUCUUCCAUUUGCAAUCUCACUGUUUCUGAUUCUAGUUCUCUUUGGCAUUCAAGACUGGGUCAUCCAUCUUUUCCCAAGAUUCAAGCUCUUUCUGAAGAUCUUUCUCUUUCAAAAACAAAACUUAAAGAUUGGUCACAUUGUCAGACAUGUCAUCUUGCAAAACAGAAACGUUUAGAUUUUCCUUUUCUUAAUAAUCUGUCUCAGAAACCUUUUGAUCUUAUACAUUUGGAUGUUUGGGGUCCUUUCUCUGUUGUUUCAGUUGAAGGCUUUCGUUAUUUUCUUACUAUAGUGGAUGAUUGCACUAGAGUAACUUGGGUUUAUCUCUUGAAAUCAAAAAGUGAUGUUUUAAAAGUCUUUCCCACUUUUAUACAAACUGUUGAAACAUAAUUUUCUAGUAAAAUCAAAGCCAUUCGUUCAGACAAUGCCCCUGAACUUUCUUUUACUUCUCUUCUUCAAUCCAAAGGAAUCUUUCAUUACUUUUCUUGUGUUGAUACACCACAACAAAAUUCAGUUGUGGAGAGAAAACAUCAACACAUUCUAAAUGUGGCCAGGGCCCUUCUUUUUCAAUCUAAUGUGCCAUUACAAUAUUGGUCAGAUUGUGUUCGCACUUAUGUCUUUCUCAUAAACAGAACUCCUUCAACUCUUCUCCAAAAUAAAACUCCUUAUGAACUAUUACUCCAAAAGAAACCAAAUUAUUCAAAUCUUAAAAGUUUUGGUUGUCUUUGUUAUGUGUCUACCUAUCCAAAAGAUAGACACAAAUUCUCUCCUAGAGCAACAGCCUCAGUUUUUCUUGGUUAUCCUUCUGGAUACAAAGGUUAUAAAGUCCUUGAUCUUGAAACUCAUUCCAUUUCAAUAUCAAGAAAUGUUUUAUUUCAUGAGGAUAUCUUUCCUUUUCAGUCUUCUGAUCUCUCUUCUUCCACCAUUGAUAUUUUCUCUUCUACUAUACUUCCUCUUCCUAUUCCUGAUUCAUCAUCAUCUUCUUCUUCCAUUCCUCAUCCUAUUCCUGAAGUUUUAUCUGAUAACAGUAAUGUCUCAGUAGAAUCAGAUUCUACUAUUCUUGUUGAUGGAAACAGGCCUAAGAGGAACACUCGUAAGCCAACUUAUUUGGCUGAUUAUCACUGCAAUCUUGUACGACACAUCCCUAAUGACAGUGGUAAUACUUCCUAUCCCUUGCAAACGGUACUUGAUUACUCUCAGCUGAAUGAUCACUAUCAACAGUUCAUUUUCAACAUUUCUGCGGAGUCAGAACCAAAAAUUUUUGCUAAGGCUAUCAAGUCUGAAAAGUGGCAUGGACCUAUGAAUGAAGAGCUACAAACGUGUGUUAACACUGGUACAUUCUCUGUGGUCACAUUGCCUGAGGGAAAGAAGCCCAUUGGCUGCAGAUGGGUUUACAGGAUAAAGCAUCAUGCUGAUGGGACUAUUGACAGAUACAGAGCUAGAUUGGUUGCUAAGGGAUAUACUCAACAAGAAGGAGUGGAUUAUAUUGAUACAUUCUCUCCAGUAGCAAAGCUUGUUACAGUCAAAUUAUUACUGGAUUUGGCUGCCAAACACAACUGGUCUCUAACUCAAAUGGAUGUUACAAAUGCUUUUUUGCAUGGUGAUCUUGAUGAGGAGAUUUACAUGGAGUUGCCACCAGGUUACACACCACCUCCUGGUGAAAGCUUGCCUCCAAAAGCAGUUUGGAAACUCCACAAAUCACUCUAUGGGUUAAAACAAGCUUCAAGACAGUGGAACAAGAAAUUUUCAGAUGUGUUAUUGGUGAAUGGUUUUACUCAAUCUCAGUCAGAUCACACACUUUUUGUAAGGCAAGUGGGUAACACUUUUCUUGCUUUACUAGUGUAUGUGGAUGAUAUCCUUAUUGCCAGUAACAGUGAUCAAGCCGUCUCAGAUUUGAAGAAUAUUUUGUCCACUGCUUUUAAACUCAAAGAUCUUGGUCCAGUUAAGUACUUUCUUGGACUUGAAAUUGCUAGAAACAAGAAUGGAAUCUCCGUUUGUCAACGGAAAUACACUUUGGAUUUGUUGGAAAGUGUUGGUCUUCUAGGUUGCAAGCCAGUGGCAACACCAAUGGACUCUGAUAUACAUUUACAUGCUGAAAGUGGUGAAUUAUUACCUGAUGCCACAGUAUACAGAGCUCUCAUUGGCAAGCUGCUAUAUCUUACUAUUACAAGAGCUGAGAUUACUUUUGCUGUCCACAAACUGAGUCAAUAUCUCUCUCAACCAAGGACUCAACAUUUACAAGCAGCUCAUCGUAUUGUCAGAUACUUAAAAGGAGAUCCAGGGUGUGGUCUGUUCUAUUCUGCAAACUCUGAAUUCAGACUACAAGCUUUUUCAAACGCAGAUUGGGCAACUUGUCAAGAUUCACGCCGUUCUACUACUGGCUUCUGUGUUUUCUUUGGUUCUUCUUUGAUCUCAUGGAAAUCCAGAAAGCAACAAACUGCCUCACGUAGUAGUGCUGAAUCAGAAUACAGAGCCUUAGCUGAUACAACGUGUGAAUUACUUUGGCUGAGUCAAUUGCUAAAGGAUCUUCAUGUUCAAGUUACUGGCCCAACUAAUCUCUACUGUGAUAGCACUGCAGCCAUUCAGAUUGCUUCAAAUUCAGUCUUUCACGAACGCACCAAACACAUAGAGAUAGAUUGUCACAUUGUUCGUGACAGGUACAAAGCUGGUUUUCUGAAUUUGUUGCAUGUUACUACGGAUAAUCAACUGACUGAUCUGUUUACUAAAGCUCUACCUCCCAAGACAUUCAAGAUGCUCAUGUCAAGAUAUGCUUUUUCAAGUCUCUUUCUUCCUUCUUGAAGAAUUCGACUUGAGGGAGGGGUAUUAGAGUAUAGUAAUACAUGUAAAUAGUUUUUACUCACAUGUAUUUUUAUUUACUAUAUAUACUGUACAUGUAAACACUUUUACACUUAAUGAGAAAUAACAAACUUUCUAAUUCUCUCUUAUCUGAUAACAUCAUGCUAAGAGUCACAGAUUUAAGACCGUGUCUCUCACUAAAAAGUAAAAACUACAAUAACGAUCACAAUCGAUCAUAUUUAUUUUGGGUAAGUAACAAUUUUUUUUAAUAUUAAAGCUUUAUAUUUAAUAUUUCUACUUUUUAUAAGAAAUUUUCAAUAGUAAGUCAUCCAUUGUUGAAUUAGCGCUGAGGAUCAAGACAUACAAAUCAUGUUGAGGGAAUUACAAUUUACAAGGUGCUCGAGCUCAAACAAACAAACAAAAAAAAUCGGACCAAAUAAAGAAAGUUACGACCUUGACGUCUGUUUUUGGAGUUAUUUUUCGUACAAAUUGUAUUGCAUUAAAUCGAUCGAAUUACAACUUACAUGGAAAAAUAAUUUGUGAAAUAAAUCAAACUUUCAACACCAUUAUAAGCAAACUUACUUAGUUAUCUCGGAUAGAAAUGCGAUUAAAUAAAGGGAAAAUUAGGGAAGUAGAGACUUGAAAUUAAAGGGAAGAAGAUUGAAGAGAUCAUAUAAAUUAGCAAAGAUAAUUGUGACCACAGCCAUCGAAUUGACUAGAAACGCUUCUGAUCCAUACUUGUCAACCCCUGAAUUUUCCAUGGAAGUAAGCUUUUCAACAAACCCUAAAACCGAGUUUCCAACAGCAACAACAAAAAUAUAGAGGCUAGUAGACACGUGUACUGGACGUAUAUAUGAUUCUUUGAUGCUUUGAAGAAAAUUAUAAAGCCAUUCUCCAGCUGCAAAGUUGAAAAAAUAACCUUUCGAUCAACAACUUCGAUUCCACUUAAAAUGAUUCAACUAAUAGAAAAUUUUUUAUAAAAAAAGCUUUGAUUCAAGAGAUUCUUUCAUGGAAGGCUAAUCUGGCUAUAUAGGAAUUUACCUGGAUGAAAUACAUGAUUAUGCUUACAAAACCAAUCCAAGAAUGGAGGCUAUAGAAAUUUGGGAUGUUUAACUCGUUGUGGUACUUGACGGCAGCAGUGAUUCCAAUGAAAAUCUAGUACGACUUUUGAUUAUACAUUUUGUGGGCCACGUUUUUCUGAAUUCGGAAACACCUAUGAAUCAGUUUAUUUAAUUUUGUAAUCAAAUGAGUGUUAUCGUGGCGUUGAAGAACAUCUAAUAGACGAUUAGAUUGUUGCCAAUGCCACGUGGUAACCGAAGAAGUAGCCAAAGGAGGCAUCUAUUAACUCCGCCGCACCUCCGUGUGUCCACUAGUCAACGACCGAGGAAUUUACGAAACAUGCCACUGGAUGUGUUACAAGCUCAAAUCCAACCUAUAUGAGCCCAGCCCACUUAUUGAUAACAAAGACCUUAGGCUGAGUCCGUCCAAAUGACAAUAACGAUGUCGUUUUAAAGUAUUACAACAAAAAUAAAUAGGGGUUAGGUAAAAUUAAGAAUCUUUCACCAUUAUCGAGAGCCUCAUUUUUAAUUUAUAUUUAUAUUUUCUAAAUUAUUAAGAACCCCUACGUAAUUGAAAAAACGAAAAGCUAUUAGCCAAAUGUUUUUUUUUAUAAAAUAGGACAGGGAAUUUUUAAUAACACCUUUUUUAACCUACUGUAUUAGUUUUGUACUUUUAUGUAAUCGACAAACAUUUAUUCAUCCAACUAUUGCCAUUGGUUGAUAUGCUUAAAUUAUGUCUACCAAAAAGAAAAAAGAUAUACCUAUUUUAUAUUUUAAACACAAAAACAAAGUCAGAAUAUAUGUUCGAAAUUGCAGAAAAUGGUUUCUUUGUUAAAUCUCUCUGAUAUGGAAUUUAACUACUAAUACACUAUAUUUUAAAAUAAACUAUUUGAGAUUAAACAGAAAAACCAAAGAUAUUAUCUUAGACAAACUAAUAAAAUGAAUUCAAGCGAAACUUAGAGGCAUGAUUAUAUCAAUAGCAUAUUUACUCGCAUAUGGCAAGCAAAACACUAGUCAGGUUAAAACCACAUGCUUCCAAAUAUUUGACAAAAAAAUCAUCAUCAACGCUUUCAACUCCCGCAAUUGAAAGGUAUUUGAGGCAUUUGAAGCUUUAAGGAUAUCUGAAACUUGAGAUAAGUUGAUUUAGCAUCUUUCAAUGUCGAGGCCUCUUAGAGUAGAUCCAUCGUGGUUGAUAAGAAUCACCAACACAUGGAAUAAGAGCAUAAAUUACUGUGAGAAACCAAUAUUUUUUUCAGAUACUUGUAUAUUCGAAUAUUUUAUAUCAAAUCUAUCCAAACGAUUCAAAAAUAUUCAACAUCUAAAUAUAAUCGAAUGAAAAAGUAAAACGGAUGAGUAAAAAUAUAUCAUGCACUGUUCGGACUGGUUACUUUGUAUCCAAAUAACUAGAUUAAACAUGUAACUAUAGAUUAGAAGGGUAUGAGAUUUAUUAGAUAGGCUUCAAAUAUAUAUUUAGCACUCGUUCGGUUUUUGUGUAAUAUUCGAUAUGAACCGAUAUCCGAAAUAGAUGAAAACAAGAUUGAGACACAUGGUUUUUAACCUACUAUAUCAGUUUUGUGUAAUCGGCAAACGUUUAUUUAUCCAACAAUCGUCAUUGGUUGAUGAUAUAUUUAUUAUAGUGACGUCGUUACUAAAAAUUUGGAUCAAUCAACAAAUUAAUAUGGAUGAUUAAAAAAUAAUUAAGAUUAUUUGGAUGAUUUUUUAUUUUGAGGAAUAGUUUAGUAAUUUUCUAAUUUGUGGUGAUUUGAGUAACUUUUUCUUAAAACAUUAAAUAAAUCUUAUAUUUAUAAAGCAGUUUGACAAUUAUAACAAAACCUAACAACUUAGUGGCCCAAUGAAGAUAUGUCUUUUAUUGAACCAGAUUUCUUCAUAGAUAAAGUUAAGAGUCUUAAUCCCCAAAAAAUUAUGACCAAAUUAUGGAGAGAGUGGGGAUAUACAAACCUUGUUAACGAAAAAAUAUUAACAGAUGAGAUGUCUUUUUUUUUUGUCAUCUGGAAUUAUAUUAGAAAGAGAUGUAGAGCUACAAACAAUAACAUCCCCGAGAAACCAAACCAAUGCAUAAGAGCAAUACAACUCAAAAAACACAGGCCAAAAGGAGCCACAAACUAAAACAAGCUGGGCUAAUACAAAGGAAUACACUUCACCAUUCCGAAGCCGAUUCCACAAAAACUCAGAUUCAAUCAGACGCCAAAGCUCUUUCCACUGCGAAGACACCAUCAAGCCAAAAAGGAUGACCAACCGUAACAUACGAUUGAAGUCUACAAUCAUUAGUAACACUCUUCGCAAUAAGAAAAGCACACCUGUUUGAAGAAGAGUUUUCCAAAAUAAUUUUCCAUCGCCUAAAAAACUUAAGAACCAAACCAGCCUCCAUAGAUUGAUAUCUAAAAGAAGGCCAAGCAAUAGGUCUGUUAAUAGCCUUAACCAAAGACUCCACCUGCAGCCCAAAAAUCACAUUUUCUACUCUGUGACUCCGCAUACUCUCAAUUGCCCACAUUAAACCUAUAAAAUGAGCCUCUUGCUUAUCAGACAGCCUCACAAAAGCUCUUCUACUGUGUAACAGAACCUUCCCCAAGUGAUCUCUCAAAACCCAAGCACAACCCGCAAACUUGUUCCUGUUGGACCAAGAUAUACCAAUAUUGCACUUAAACCAGUUUAAAGGAGGAGGAGACCAACCAUAUCUUCUGUUACCAAUGCCAUGACCGAGAGGAGACAAGCCGUGAGUCUCAGGUCCAUUCACCAACCCAAUUUCUUCAUCACCCUUUUGAGCCUCAACCCAUUCAGUCCAAUCUUCUUUCACCUUUUGAGCAGAUUCCAGAGGAGAAAAACAUUUUCCUUCAAAAGAUGCAAGAUUUCUAUUCUUCCAAAUACGCCAUAAAGUCCAAGGAAAGGAUAAUCUUAACUCAUGUGGCCAAAGAGUAUUCGUAGUAUUCAUUAACAGAUAAUGAAUGUUAUUGAACACAGAACCAUUAUGAAAUCCCCAACUUGGAGAAGGAAUGCCAGUGAGAGCCCAAAUCUGUCUAGCCAUGGAACAUGUGAAUAAAACAUGGUUCACCGAUUCGUCCUCAUCACCACAAAGCUGACAUCUUAAAUCAAUUUUCAUUCCUUUGCCUAGAAGAGCAGCCGCCACAGGUAAAGCUCCACAUAGAACUUUCCAUAAGAAAACAUGAAUCUUGGGAUCAGUUUGAAGAGCCCAGACCUGAGCUUUCAAGUCAUUCGUUGAUGGGAGCUGCUCAGCAAGAAUUCUAGUCUGAAGAUUGCUAGAUUGGGAAGCUAACCAAUAAGCAGACUUUACCGAAAAAUCGCCACUCUUAUUAUGUUUCCAUGAAUAAAAGUCCUCAAGUUCAGUCACUGGCUUGAUCUUAUUGAUUAUAAGAAUAUCCAAAGGAGGGAAAUGAAACUCAAGUUUCUGAGGAUCCCAAAUCCUUUUAUCCCAGUCAAUGAGCUCAGAAAUUCUCAAAUCAGGAUUGAAGAAAUAAUUUCUCCUAUAAGGAGCACGCCAGCCAUCAUCUUCAAUCCAAUCAUCAAUCCAAACUCGAAAAGAUUUUCCAUUGCCAAUGUUCUUAACAAGACCCUGGCUUAACAGAUUCCUCCCAUGUAAAAUGCUUUUCCAAGCAUAAGAGGGUCUAGUGCCCACUCCAGCAUUCAAAAAUCAGUUGUCUAAAAUAACAUUUUUAAAAAAAUUAGGAGACAAAGAAAAUGAGUGCAUUGAAGAGAGGGACAGUGUUUGUUGCACAUGUUUUCAUGUGCUUCCAAUACUUACGCCAUUUUUAUAUCCGUAUGAUCCAGCUUCUAAUCAUUUUAUAAUCAGCUAUAAACAUUUUUAAUAUUUCUCUUCAUUAUUAGAAUAUCAAAAUCAUUAAUUCUGAUGAGUUGGUUCGGUUUAAGGCCUCCUUAGUCUAACUUUAAUCAAACUUAUAGAAUUAUCACAAAAGUCUAAUAUAUGUGCAUAUUUCAAAACUAGUUUUUUUUUUGUGCACCUUUCAAAACUAGUUUAAGAUUGCAAUUAAGUACAAAAAAGAAGAAGAGAGUGUUGCAAUUAUCAAACCAAUAUUUAUCUACUGAUACAAGAAAAUAUAGAGUGAGGAUUCAUAUGCGUGUAUGUAUAUAUAAAAUUCUGAAAUAAAUGUGUAUCAUUAAUAAUUUAAGGGAAACACACGCAACAUACAUAUAUUCUAUAGUGUGUACAGCUGUAUGUACAUAAACAUAAUGCAUAAUGGAUCAUGAGUCAUGACGAGUAUGUGGCAUGCAGAUAAAGGCGUCUCUGGUUUUUCUUGGGGCCACCGAUACGAGCAAUAAUGGUGUAAUAUGCGAUGUGUUUCAUUCAUUUAACUAUAGUACAAUAAAAACAAAAUAUAACUUAUUCACUUGAAAUAAAUGUAACUAACUACUAAUUUGAAAUAUUUUCUAGUAAACCCUACCAACAUGAAAAGGCUUAACCUACUCUUUACCCUGACAUAAAAUGAAACCUAAUUUUCUAUACAAAGAUAACUUUAUAUUAUACAAGUUUUAGUUACUAAGACUUUGUGUAAGUCAGACAAGUAGGCAAUUAAAAAGGGAGGUUGGGGUGUCUAUUAAAUUUAUAAGGACACAUAAAAUCACCCACAUUAUAUGCCUUACUGCAUUAAAAAGAAAAGCACUUUUCAAUUCUAUUAAUAAACUAAUAAAAGUUAAUUUCCUACUCAAUCAAACCCAUUAAAGCAGUAAGAAAAAAAAAAAAAGCUUUCUUAGAUGGAAUCUACUUAUAACUCACUGAUUAAGUUUUUAUAUUAAAAAGUUGUACGAAUCAACCUUUAUAUUGUACAAGGAAAGUGAUCAUCACAGACUGUAAAUCAGGUUGUUGUGUUUUGUUUUUGUUUCCUCCUACAUUCUUUGGAAGAAACAGAAACAAAUCAGAGAAUCUGAAAAUCCAAAUUUUGGGUUGAAGAAGGUUUUGGUUUGGUUUCUUUCGAGAAAACAAUGUUUAAGUCAUGGAGGAACGACAAGAACAAGAUCAAGGCUGUGUUCAAACUUCAGUUUCAGGCAACUCAGGUUUGUGUUUUGUCUCUUUAAAUCUCAAUUUCAUAUUUUUCUCUGAGAAAUUCAGACAAUGUGUUUACUAUAAUCCUAGAUCUGUCACUCUAUAAGUUUCAAGAUUUGUUUUGAAUGUGAAUGUGAAAUUUGGGGAUGUUACCUUUUUAUUUUCAGGUACCGAAGUUGAAGAAGACUGCUUUGAUGAUCUCAUUGGUUCCUGAUGAUGUUGGGAAGCCAACAUUUAAGCUGGAGAAAUCUGAGGUUAAAGAAGGGAUCUGUUCAUGGGAGAAUCCAAUUUAUGUGUCAGUGAAGCUAAUCAAAGAACCAAAAACUGGGAUUGUUCGUGAGAAGAUUUACCAUUUUGUUGUUGCAACAGUGAGUGAAACCAACAAUCUCUGUGACUAUGUCUUUUGAGUUAAUCUGAAGAAGAAAAAGACUCAAAAUUUUCCAAAAUCUGUUUCAGGGUUCUUCGAAAUCGGGUUUUCUAGGAGAAGCUUCCAUUGAUUUUGCAGAUUUUCUGACUGAAGCAGAUCCAUUAACUGUCUCCUUACCUCUCAAAUUUGCCAACUCUGGUGCUGUCUUAAAUGUAAUCUCUUUUCUUCUCCUCUUUUUAAUCCUGAAGUUAGAAAUUGAAAAAAAAUGUAUGAGAAAGUUAUAUAAACUGUUUGGUUGUUGGUGCAGGUAACAAUCCAUAAGAUACAAGGAGCUAGUGAUUUAAAGUAAAUAGUUUUUUCUAUAUGUUGUUGUCGUCGUUUCCUGUUUUCUUUUGUAAUAGAUUUUUGACAUCAAAUUUUGCAGAUUUAUUGAGGAAAAUAAAGAUCAAACACUUAGCAAAGAAGACAGCUUCAAAAGUCUACAAAGCAAUGAUGAGUUAGAAGGAUAUAGCCAAGAUGUAAGGUUUCUUGGUUCAAAGAGUUAAUUAAAACUGUCUCUUGUCUAUUAAGAACGAUCGUGAUAGUUAUAGAUCUUUUUGUAGGAGAGUAGCUUAGAUGUGAAGACGGCUAAGAAUGCUGGCCUAGGAGGUUCCUUUGAUUCGAUUGGUGAAUCGGGAUGGAUAGAUGAGGGGAAUGCACGGUUACCUCAACGACAUAACUCAGUUCCUGCAACAAGAAACGGGCAUCGAAGAUCAAACACGGACUGGUCAGCUAGUUCGACAUCAGAUGAGAGUUACAUCGAGUCAAGAAACAGUCCUGAGAACAAUUUCCAAAGAGGAUUCUCUAGUGUUACUGAAUCGAGUGAUCCUAUCGAAAGGCUCAAGAUGGAAUUGGAAGCUUUGAAGAGGCAAUCAGAGUUAUCUGAGCUGGAAAAACAGUCUUUAAGGAAACAGGCCACAAAGGAGAGCAAACGGAUACAGGAACUGUCCAAGGAAGUUAGUUGUCUCAAGGGUGAAAGAGAUGGAGCUUUGGAAGAGUGUGAAAAGCUUAGGUUGCAGAAUAGUAGAGACGAGGCUGAUGCUGAAAGCAGAUUGAGAUGCAUCAGCGAAGAUUCGAGCAAUAUGAUUGGGGAGAUUAGAGAUGAGCUGAGUUGUGAGAAGGAUUUGACGAGUAACCUUAAGUUGCAGUUGCAGAGGACACAAGAGUCGAACUCUAAUUUGAUUCUUGCUGUGAGGGAUCUCAAUGAGAUGUUGGAGCAGAAGAACAAUGAGAUAUCUUCUCUGAAUAGCUUAUUAGAGGAGGCUGAGAAGCAUGAAGAGGAUAAGGGAUUGGAUUCUGGAAACAAUGAGAUAGAUAAGCUAAAGCAACAGAUCGAAGAUUUAGAUUGGGAGUUAGAUUCUUACAGGAAAAAGAACGAAGAACAAGAGAUUCUAUUAGAUGAGCUUACUCAGGAAUAUGAGUCCUUAAAAGAAGAAAAAUACAAAAACGUUUCCUCAAGAUUAGAGUGGCAAGAAUGCUCAAAUGCGGAAGAUGAAUUCUCCGAUUCCAAGGAUAUGAUAGAGGAAUUGAAAUCUCAGAUAGAGAUAUUGGAAGGCAAAUUGAAGCAGCAAUCGUUGGAGUAUUCGGAAUGCUUGAUUACCGUUAAUGAACUUGAGAGUCAGGUGAAAGAGUUAAAGAAAGAACUGGAGGAUCAAGCAAGCGCUUUUGAUGAAGAUAUUGACACAAUGAUGCGGGAAAAAACUGAACAAGAGCAAAGAGCCAUCAAAGCAGAGGAGAAUCUAAGGAAAACAAGAUGGAAUAAUGCUAUAACAGCAGAGCGGCUUCAAGAAAAAUGCAAGAGGAUUUCUCUAGAAAUGAAAUCAAAGCUGAGUGAGCAUGAGAAUCUGACGACAAAGACAUUGGCUGAGGCAAACGACCUUCGUCUGCAAAAUAAAACUCUUAAGGAAAUGCAAGAGAAAACACAUACCGAGGUUACGCAAGAGAAAGAGCAAAAGAAGCACGUGGAAGAGAAGAACGAAGCUUUGUCAAUGAAAGUCCAGAUGCUUGAAAGUGAGGUCCUGAAGCUCACAAAGCUGAGAGAUGAAUCGUAUGCAGCAGCUACCGAAACCGAGAAGAUAAUUCAAGAGUGGAGGAAGGAAAGAGAUGAAUUUGAGAGAAAAUUUGCUUUGGCUAAAGACGAAGCCAAGACAGCGCAGAAAGAGUUAACUCUCACUAAGUCGUCAAAUGAUGAAAAAGAGACCAGGCUCAGGAAUUUGAAGACAGAAGUAGAAGGUCUAAGCCUACAGUACAGUGAAUUACAAAACAGCUUUGUUCAAGAAAAAAUGGAGAAUGAUGAACUGAGAAAACAAGUAUCAAACUUGAAAGUCGAUAUUCGGAGAAAAGAAGAAGAAAUGACUAAAAUCCUAGAUGCAAGGUAUGUGGAAAAUAAACUAACUAAAUUGAAAUGUUAUUUUUCAGUUGUGAAUAUUUGACUUAUUACUAUCUAACACAACAAUAACAGGAUGGAAGCAAGGUCACAAGAAAACGGACACAAAGAGGAGAAUCUAACAAAGCUAUCAGAUGAAUUGGCUUAUUGUAAGAACAAAAACAGUUCAAUGGAGAGAGAGUUGAAAGAAAUGGAAGAGAGAUAUUCAGAGAUAAGCCUGAGAUUUGCAGAGGUAGAAGGAGAAAGACAACAACUUGUGAUGGCUGUCAGAAACCUCAAGAACGGUAAGAAGUUUUAGUAUUUGUAUGUUGCUGCGACUACAAUUGAUGUAACAUCAUUAGUAGAAAUAACUAUAUAAAUUGUGUUGUUAAUAGAAUUCGUUUCUCUCAUAAAACAUUAUUUUAUAAACUUGUCAAGAAAUCAAUAUUUUCCUCUGAAAUAAGUAACGCUUACAUAAGAUUUUGAGAUGCCCACCUCCAAAUCUGAUCAUGUCCACAUUGAAUUCCCACUGACUGGUUGCUACCCCGUGUUUGUUUUAUUACUUCCAUACCAGUUUUGUUUGGCCUCCAGUUCCAUUCCCUGCGUAAGAUAGAGACUAAAAUGGAGAAAACAUUGUUAAAGCAAUCAUUUUGGUACGAACAAAUCUCACUUAUAUAGGGAUCAUAUAGGACGAAUACCUGUUUUGCUCGCUUAUCAAUUGGUGUCCAUGACUUAAGAGGAGAGUAAAAUCUCUCGUUUUUUGGCGAGGCUGAAGAAGUUUUUGACCGCUUCUGCUUUUUCUCUUCUGGAAUUUUUUUGCCUCCUUUAUACUUGAAAAACUCUAGUAUGGAAGGACUCUUUCUCUUGGUACUAGCUUUCUUUAUGUUCCCUGGAGUCUCCAAACUAGAGGGAGUGACAUAAGAAGGAAGAGAUUGAUGUUGUUUCCUUGCCCUGCUUCUUUCUCUAACUCUGUUAAGGAAAUCAACCGUCCAAGGAGAACUCUGUACUUGAUUUGAAGAACGGAUUGCGUUUGAUAGUGGAGAUCCACCAAAAUGUGAUAUCUCUUCUCUAAAUGGAAGCUCUGUUGUUGGAACUGCGGAUCUCCGAGUUAAGACCUCCUCCAAAAGGGUUCUUUGGCGUUUUGCUGGAUAGUUAUCAGCAUAACCACGCAAAGAAGCAUUGUUAUCAUAUUUUGAAUCUUUCUCGGUGGUGAAUCUUUCAGAACUCAAGUCGAUCUCAGCUGCUUUUGGGAAGUUAGGCUGGAGAGAUCCAAAGAAAGAUAACUUCCUUGCAGAUUUUGAUUUUCUUGGAAGUUCCUCUUCAUCAACAUCAGAAACUAUUGGAGAAAACCUAUUGUAACCAGGAGAAGGCGGGAAGUCUUCCUCCAGAAAUUUAUCAGCUCUGUUGAUUACUUCACCUUUGUAGUCUACGAUGAAACUCUCUGAGUUCCUAUUGUCAUGCAAGUUGAAAUCUCCCAUCACUGGGAAUUUACAUCCUCUGUUCUGGCUCUUGAACUUGUCUUUAACUGGGAAACUCCAAUCUUCUAAUUCAGGAAUUCCAGGAAGACUGUCCUCCACUGAAAAACCAGGCUGAUCUUUCUCCCAAAAUGUGUCCUUUGAUGAUGAACCAGGUCUUGGCUUCUUGUCGAAUCUCUCAGGAUCUUUAGAUGGCCAAGAGUCAUUGGGAUGACUGAUCCCAGAAGGCUUGAAAGGUGCAUCAGAGAAUUCAGUGACAGGGUCAAAAUGAAAUAUCUCAUUAUCUCUCGAUGACCAAGAAUCAUCAAGUUGAAAAUCACCAGAAGACUUGAGCUGCGCAUCAGCAAAUUCUGUGGAGGGAGCAAAAUGGACCAAGUCGUCCAUAUCUAUCUCAUCUUUCUCAGCAAUGUACUGUUUCUUUUUCGAACCAGAAUGGACACUGACAUGGUGUGUGUCUGAGUCAGGUCCAGAAGAUACCGAAGAAGAGCUGUCUGUCAUUACAGAUCUGGAGUCCUCCCUCGCUCCGUAUCUGCAUAGUGAACUGAAUAGAUCAACACUCUCUUCAGGUACAUGAUACUUUUGCAUCCUAUCAACCUUGCUUUUAUGUGGGAGCUUCAUGAAUUCGAGAAGUGACCCAGAAGAUGACAGAAUUACUUGAGCUGUGAGUGGAUUCACGGAAGGAAACUUGGUGAGAAAUGAUUCUGCUAGAGAUUCUGACUCGGGCAUUUUGACAUGGAGUUUGGACAACUUAACAGACGACUUGAUACACCUCAAUAUAAUUUCAUCCGUGAAAUCAGCUGACGAUGAGCAAAACAUCUGUAAACUGAUUCCCAGGCUACCAGCUGCUACAUACAGUUCAUCAGAGGAGUCCAUUAUUGUAGCCAGAAAGGCGGGUUCCCCCUCAAAAACCUGUAGGAAAAAUUACAAUCAUUCUUUAAGUUCUCAGGACUCACUCUACAGUUUAGAACAAAAUGUUGCAGAGACUUGGUACAUAAGUGAGUAGCAAACAUCUAGUAAGUUUGUAAUCAUCCAGUUAGCAAAAAUAUUAGUGCAAUGUUCUCACAAACGAAUGGCAAGAAGCAAAGUUCCAUGGAAUUUACCAUAAUGCAGGUGCUGAAACUGAAACUCAAUGACGUCAAAACAUUGGUUGCGAUAUCUCCAAUCCAUGAAAGUGAGCUUGAGGAAGUACCAAUAGUUGCAGCCGACUUCUUACUAACAGUUUCACAAUCAUACCAGAGUAGGCAAACUGCAGGACUUAGCAUCAGGUCCACAGGUAGAUCUGAAUCGCGCUCCACAACUUGCACUCCUUCUUUUUCCAUUGCUAACACCUUCUGGUAUGUACUUCUUCUGGAUAUGAUCAUCUCCUUAUCAACAGUUUUUGAAUUCACAACAAUCACAGAUCUUUGGUCAGAGAGAACUCCUUGUUCAAUUAUCCCACGUUUUCUUUCAGAUUCUUGAGGCAUGGAGAUAUAUUCAGAUUCAUUUGUGGUUACUGAAGAUCCUGCAUAACACACACUUUCAAGUGGAACAAAGUUCAACACUUCUUCCAACCAGCCAGUUUUCGUCUCAACUUCAUCUUCCUACAAAAGAGACAUUAAAGUUCAGUCAUAAGUUCUUGACUUCUUGUAUCUGCAUAUUAUGAAACAUAUUCAAACAAAGCGUUCAAUAUAUGCAGUUAUGGAACAAGCGUGAAUACUAGUGAUGUGACAACACAAGUUUAAGUUCAAGUACAUACUAAUGUUAAACUUGUAUGAUUUUCAGAGUUGAAAACCAAUCAAGACCAGGUGCUCAUGAAAACAUUAUUUGUGAUAUAGAUUGCUCCUCUGCUCUUAAUUUGAACCCUUCACACAGAGAUUCUUCCAUCAUAAUAUACAAUCUACAGAUACAAUUUGUAAGAAAAAGGUUGAAAGUUGAAUGCUUCUCACCUUUAUCAUUUUGAGACUAUAAGGUACUUUGACACCUGCACACAGUUGGCCGCAUGCACUGGACAUAUCCAUCUCAACUUUUAUGAAAUGGAAGUCAGGAAAGGAAUCCAACUUAGAAGGAAAAGAAAAUUUGGGCGAGGCAUUUGGACCGCCAUAUUCUACAAUGACGCUGAAAUUCUCCACAGGAAAAGAUGGAGAAAUUUGCCUUGGAUGAAAAAGAAAGGACUAGUCAGCUUAACUACUCCCCAAGAGACAAUGUAACUAAAAGAUAUUGAACAAAGAAUCGAUAAAGUUAUGUUUUUUAGAAUGCAAAGACUUAAAAGACAAAAAUUAUGCAACAAUUUCACGAGUAGAUUUCAGAAGUAACAAGAUUAUGUGGUGUCUCUUACAAUUACCAUGAUAAAAGACUCUAGAUAUUUUUCAGGCAGUUAUAUAUCAAUUCUUUGGUUCCCUUUCCAGUUCCCAUAAAAAUCAACUGUGAAAAGCUAUGAUCAUUGAUAAUGAGGAUAUGACUAUAGGAAGAAAUAAUACUCACUCGUAAGAGAUAAUUAGACAGUCUGAAAUCGGCAGGAAACCACGUUCUACGGUUUUAAACCCCGUGGCUUCAUGAACAUUUGGUCGAUUUUCACUUGGGGAGGGACUGUUGAGCUCAUUGUAAGAUAAACCCAUGGACAUCAGUAGCCUCUUCAGCGAGGACCAAAAAACUUUCUCAGCCAAAAGUAAUGCUUUGGAGUUCCCCCGGGCAAAUUCUGAAUGUAAAAUCCCCUGGAUAACAGCUAGUGAUGGAUGUGAUCUUGUGACGUCUGUCUCAUCUGAUUUGUGUUCUGUUUCAACUGCUGAGUAGAGGGUGUGCAAUCCUAGCUUCAUGGGAUUUGAGCUUCGACAUAACUUGUUAAGAUAGAGAUAUGCCACAUGGAUACCGAAGAAACACAUAUACCAUGUCAUCUGUUUAAUUGCUAGUAGUAAUGCAAACGUGAAAGUCUUAUCAUCCGCCAACUGCGUGUUGCGGACAUUUGCCUUUCUUAUGCAGUCAAUAAGCUUUCCUUUAGAUAUGCUGAGUAACUUAAGUCUAUCUUCUGAUAAAUUCUCUGAUUCAUCCUUCACAAGAGUUAAAUAGCUCUUCACAAAGUCCCCAACAAGAACCAGAAUAUUUUCUGAAGGGCGCACACUGUGAAGUAUCAUUUCCUCCGUCUUCAGGUUUGGGUGCAUGCCACCAGAUAUACAUGAAGCCUUCGAGUCAAUAGACAUAAAUUUAUGGUUGGCCGUCUUAGCAGCUUCGACUCUAGACCCGAGAUUAUCUUCAGUCACAGCCUUCUGAGGAUCCAUGAAAAAGGUUAAGUCAUCAAACGCAGACAUUGAUUUGAACAACAGCGUAGCCUUCUUAGCAUUAUCAUCCACUCCACAAUCCCUGGCUCCUGUUUUUUGGAAAAGGUUUUCCAAUAACCCAUGAGAAGUAUUAACAGGAGCAUGCUCAUCAAGGGUAGAUAUACCAUAGAAAGGUUCAGUGCAUUUCUCUACAAGUGGCUCGCUGAAAGCAUCUUCAGAGAAUAUAAAAUCAUAAACCCAUUUGUCUCCUUCUGAAGAUUCCCACUUAAAAUCAAUGUUGAGUGUAACUAUUUCUUCAAACGGAUAAUCACAAUGGUUGUGGUUUCUUUCCUCAAGAAGGUUCCAGGGCAAGUAUAUGUCAUUUGAAGCAGACAAGGAUUGAGGCUUGAUCUUUGACAAAACAUCCUCAUAAAUGAGAUCCAGAGAUCUUGUCAUCUCAUAAUCAUGUAAAAUAGGAGUAGGCAGAGACUUGAAGGCAUCAUCUGUGAAGGCAAGUUCGGAACUGACUACUAAUUCAUCGAAAUUCUUGAAGUUCAUCUCUUUACUGAACAUCCCAUAACAUAUUUCUGGUUCAAUGGCUUUUAGAAGACAAAGGAAGAUAUCAAAAACAUCAGAUAUUUCCACAUCCAGGAUCUGAAAUUCCUCAAAAGUUACUGGGAGAGCCAGCUUUCCUUGUUGUUCAAACAGAAAGUUUUCCUCAGCAUUUGAUAUUUCCAGGAUAUUCACUAAAUCCACUUCAGAAAAUUCAUCCUCUGGCACCACAUCAGAUUGACCACUUUUGUUCAAAUAGCAAUCCGUAGAGAGGAUAUCCAAUAGAUCAUAACCCUUAGAGCCUAUAAGCUCCUUAGAAUUGAUAAUGAGAGAACUCGCUGCGUUCUUAUCUUGGGGUUCAAUUGUUUCAAGAACAGUAAAUACUUUAUCAAGCGUAGAUAAGCUCGAUAGUUCUCUCAAGUUUACUUCAUCCACUUCUAGAAGGGGAAAUCUGGCAUCUUUGAACCAUGGUUGAUUCUUGCUAGAGCAUUCAUUUUCUGCUACCGAAGUAUUGUUCUCUGUGAAGUAAUCAGAAGAAAUGUAAUCAACAGAAUAAAUCCUUUGGUGGAUGUCAUUUGAGUUCUGUAAGAUAGUAUCUAAUUCAACAUAUUUAACCUGCAAUAAGAAGAGUACCUAAAAUCAGAUGAUGAAAACUCAAUAUCAACACAACAAGGCCAGAAAGUUAAGAUUCUCUCUUUCCAUACUGCUAAAUAGAAUUUUCCAUGAAAUUGAUUAGUCAAAGAGCUUUGUCAAUCGGAAAGAAGAAUCGGAACCAGAGACUAACUACUGUGGUGUGUGCCAACUUUACACUUUGACUUCUACUGAGAUCAACUCAGGGAUUUACCGGCUCAUUUUCGAUCUCUAGAACUUCAGAGAAACAUUGGAGAUCUUCCCUCUUAGAUGAGAUCAUUUCCUCCUGCAUAUUGGAAGAUAAAUUAUCUCGCAAGGAGAAAGAAAUGGUUGAACUAGUUCAAUUGGUACAAUGUUUACACAGCUUGAGCAAUACCAUUUCAAAAUCCAACUCCGGAGUCUCCAACUCCAUAAUGUUAAAUACAGCUUUGUCCUCAAUGGCAUCUCCGUCAUUCUUCUGCGAUAGAUCAUAACUUAUGUUAUUCAAACUCCAGUCAGAUUCCCUUAAGCUACCAAAAUUUUCAACCAAGGUAUGAAUAUGAGAUCCAAGCAACAAUCACAAACCAAAGAUUCCGGAAAAUCUACAAACCAAUCUCACUAUAAGAAACCAAGGACCAUUGACAGAAGCAGUCAUAUAUACAGCGAGAUUCAAGCUGAGAAUCGCCAAAUCCAAGGAACUUUACCUCGUCUGAGAAAUAAUCUCCGAGGGAAGAAUCAUCAAUUUCAAAAACUCCAUAGUCCACACUAACGCAAUCGGGAACCACGUCGGAAAGGAACUUCGACAAAGCAGCUUCAAUAGUAAAAUUCCCGAUUGGGAGACAGACAUUUUCGACAGAGCCAAAUCGGAGACGGUCUUCUUCUCCGUCGUAGACUAUAGGUCCCGGAAAAUUAUCAGGAGCCGGAAGAUUAAGGAAGCCUAGGGUUUCAAAUACCUGAGAAGAUGGAGUAGAGAAGUAAUCGAUGUUGAGAAAUCGAGUUCGCAUCGUAAUUCUCCAGAUCCGUCUUGGGAUGUGAUACUGUAACAGUGACGAAGAAGAAGAGAACGAAUUUGAAAUUGGCGGUUUUGAUUUUUUAAGAAAUUAAAAAAUAUCUUCCGUCGAUUUCAAGAGAGAGAGGGAGAGAGAGAGAGAGAGAGAGAGAGAGACUGAAGCAACGCUCGCGCUUGUCGUCUUUCAAUUACAAAUGAGAACGAUCUGCCGUUUUUAAUUUUCAAAACAGCACGCAGUUGGUUUCUGUAUUGAAUUUUUUCUCAUGCCGUCUCUAUUAUGGAAUGCCGUUUUGUUAUAUUUAAACAACACGUAGUGCACAUGCCAAAUAAUCACAUGAUGGGGCCAAUAAACGUGGACCGACUAAAAAUAAUACACCCUCUGUUUCUAAAACAAUGAUGUUUUAGUUUUACAUACAAAUUAAGAAAAAGUAAUUUUUAUAUUUUUUUAUUAUUAUUUUGUUAGUUUAAUAAUAUUAGUUUUACUCCCCCUCCUUCUACUAUUAGUCAUAAACAAAAAUAAUAAUAAUAUUUUUACAAAACAUCAAUCUUGGUGGAACAAGUAAAAACCCUAAAAUAUCAAAUAAUUAGAAUAAUUAGGAACAGAGGGAGUAGAAGUUAAGUCGGUAGGCUUCUCUAAUAAAGAUCGGAUAAAAAGAUAAUGUCACAUAGCCACGUAGAGAGCAAAUGGCUGAGACGUGGCAGGAGGAAAAGGACGCAUCGUACGUGUCAGAAUCCUACAGAAGUAAAGAGACACAAACCAAGAGAGGUGGUUCACAUGUCAUACUUCUCACUUAUUCUCUCUAUAAACUUUCAAGACCCUUGCUCUGUUUUUCUCAGAGACACGAAAAGAAGAAAACAACGCUAGAACAAAGAGAGUUUGAUUGAUUCACUUGAAAAAAGAGAAAACACAGCUUUGGAAAAUGGAGUCGCAGUUGACACGUCCUUAUGGUCAUGAGCAAGUAGAAGAACCAAUCAGAAUUCACCAUCCAGGUAUAUAAUAACUAUGAAAAGUAGAUUCUAAUUUCAGAAACUUUCUCUCAAUUUGCUUACUUAAUUGUGAUUCGGAUACAGAGGAAGACGAGCAUCAUGAUAAGGGAGCAUCUAAAGUGUUAAGAAAAGUAAAGGAAAAAGCUAAGAAGAUCAAGAACAGUCUCACUAAACAUGGCAAUGGUCAUGAUCACGAUGUUGAAGAAGAAGAAGAUGAGUAUGACGAGCAAGACCCAGAAGAGCACGGAGCACCAGGUUAAUUUCUCUUCAUUCCUCUUCAAUCUAUCAUUUAUUCCAGUACAAAUGAUUUUUAGUAGUUCUGUUUUUGGGUAUUAACGGUUUCUCUUUUUUUUUUUAUGUGUAUACACAGUGUAUGAAUCCUCUGCCGUAAGAGGUGGUGUAACGGGUAAACCUGAGUCUUUAAGUCAUACCGGAGAAACUAAUGUUCCAGCACCGGAGGAGAUUGUUCCUCCAGGAACAAAGGUUUUUCCUGUCGUGUCUUCCGAGCACACCAAACCCAUUGAGCCUGUUUCAUUACAAGAUACCUCUUACGGACAUGAGGCACUGUCUGCUCCUGGAGGAGGUUCGGAUUAUCUUAGUGGUGUAUCUAAUUAUCAGUCCAAAGUUACUGAUCCCACGCAUAAAGGUAAUGACUUUGGCCGAGAUAUAAAGAUCGCGUUUUAUGUUUAUGAAUCUGUAAUAACUCUUGUCUGUUGUGUUUAAGGUGGAGAAGCUGGAGUACCAGAGAUUGCUGAGUCUCUUAGUCGGAUGAAAGUGACUGAUGAGUCUCCUGAUCAGAAAUCAAGACAAGGAUUUGGAGAAGACUUACCGACGAGAAGCCAAGAAUUUGGUCUGAAGAACGAAUCUGAUAUCAGCAAGGAUUCUCCGGCAAGACUUGGAGGAGAAUCAAGAGCUGGUCUCGGGGAAGAUUUUCAGAGAAGAAGUGAUGAUGUGAAAGCAGAGACUGGGUUGGGAAGAGACUUACCGACCGGAACUCAUGAUCAGUUCUCACCGGAACUAUCUCGUCCUAAAGAGAGAGAUGAUUUUGAGGAAACCAGAGAUGAGACGAAACAGGAGAGGAAACCGAGCACCUACACAGAGCAGUUAGCUUCAGCUACAUCAGCCAUAACCAACAAAGCUAUAGCGGCGAAGAACGUCGUCGCCUCAAAGCUAGGUUACGGAGAAAGCGGCGGCGGGCAAUACGAAAGCGCUGAAAAGGAUGAAACUCCGAGGUCUGCUACGGGUUACGGGCAGAAAGUGGCGGUUACUGUUGCUGAGAAGUUGACUCCGGUCUACGAAAAGGUCAAAGAAACAGGAUCAACGGUGAUGACGAAACUUCCUCUCUCCGGAGGUGGAAGUGGAGUGAAGGAGACGCAACAAGGGGAAGAGAAAGGUGUGUCGACUAGAGAUUAUCUAUCGGAGAAGCUGAGACCUGGAGAAGAAGACAAAGCCUUAUCUGAGGUGAUAGCUGAGAAACUUCAUUUUGGAGGAGGACAGAAGAAGUCAACGGCCACAAAGGAGGUGGAAGUGACGGUGGAGAAGAUACCUUCUGACCAGAUAUCGAAGGGGAAAGAACAUGGUGAGGCGGUUACUGAGGAAGGGAAAGAAGAAGGAAUGGUAGGGAAAGUUAAAGGAGCGGUCACUUCUUGGCUCGGUGGUAAGCCGAAAUCGCCACAUUCAGUUGAAGAGUCUCCACAAUCACUUGGCACCACCGUUGGUAAAACUCACUCGUCCUUGUGUUAUACGUAAUGUUAAGAUUUUGAUGUGUUUAUUAUUUGUGGUUUACUCAAAACGUUUUGGUUGCAAUGGUAGGGACUAUGGGGUUUACGGAUUCCAGUGGAAGUGAGUUGGCUGGUACUGGCGGAGCUAAGGGAGUUCAAGAUUCUGGGAACUGAAGAUUUGGGGUUUUGCUUUUGAAUGUUUGUGUUUUUGUAUGAUAACUUUGAUGUAUUUUUGUGUUCGUGUGAAAUAAAGAUUGGGUUGAUAAAUAUAUAAUCUACUUUUUUUGGGUCAAGAAACUCUACUUUAUCGGCCCAUUAUAUAGCUUAAAAAUGCAAAAACAAGUUAACGUCAGACUUUUAAUUAUUAUUUUUUUUUAAAAAAAAUUUUUGUUGAAGGGUAUAGAAGAUCAUAGCCAAAAAAAAUUUAUUCAAAGAUGUAAAAAAAUUUGUUGAAAAAAUUUAUUCAAAGAUGAAUGCGAUGGAUAUAGAAGAUCAUAGCCAAAAAAAAAUUAGGAGGCUCAGCAGAAACAGUGACAUCUGUUGUUGCCACAGAAAUUAAUUUAUUAUGGGUUAAUGUGUCACUGUUGUUGGUACCACACAAAUUAGUUUUAUUUUCUGAGUUUAUGUUAUGUUAUAGAACUUAAUACACCUUUAUAAAUUAGUAAUAUCGGAAUUAGUAUAUAGAAUUAUUAAUUAAUCAGUUAGUUAGUUCACAAUUAAUUUGGGAUAAAAAUAAUUGAUUAUCGAAUAUUAAGUCAUAAAAAUUAUAUCUAUACUAGUAUUUUUGCAGUCACUUUUGAGUCGGGUGGAUAAAAUUAUUAUCGGAUAUUUUAGAUAUCCGACCCAUUUACAAAAUUUGGUCAUAAAAAAUUUGUUGGAUCGGGUUAUAUUUAAUCUAACUCAUACACCGGAUAUUUCAUAUUUAAUAAUUUAGAUAUUUAGAAGAUUUGAUUAAGAUUUAGAAUUAUGAUUCUCCUAUCAUCUUUUUUUGAUUUGUUUUUAACUGUUUUGAAUCAUCAUAUAAUAUAUAAAAUUAAAAAAAUAAUCAAUUUUUUUUGCAUAUACUGUUAUUCGAAAUUUUAAAAACAGACGUAUAUUAUCAAAUUGACGAAAAUGUGUGUUCAACGUUCUACAUCGAUUAAAAUAUUUAGACACUGAUUUAAAAUCAUAUGAUAAAUAAGAUCAACAUUAAUAAAAUAAAUGAGUUUUUUGGCCGGACGGGUUUGGCGGGACGAGUUUUUGAAUCAACAAUAAUAAAAAAAAUUAAAAUAUCAUUAAUCCGCCGCUUCAAUACGGAUUAAAUCCAUAAUUUUUUUUAAUACCACCAAUAUUAGACAUAUUAAAUGAAUCUCAUUCAUAAAAGAUUGUAUAAAACCAAAAAUUGUCUCGUGGUUAAAUGUUACUUAAUAACAAUUGUAAACUAUAAAAUAUAAAUAUCUUAGAAAAUGAUACAAUUUGCAAACUUUUAUAUAUAAUAAAUAAUCGUUAAAUUUUAAAAAUUAAUACUUUUAGAAAACAAAUCACAAGACGGAUUAAAAAGUUACAGGACGGGUUAUAUUUCAGAACGAAGUUAUAUGGUGGACGAGUUUGAAUCAAUAUUUAUAAAAUUUUAAAAUAUCAUUAACAUGCCGCUUUAAUACAUAUUAAAUCUUCAGUUUAUUAAAAUAUAAAUGACUUAGAGAAUGAUAUGAUUUAUAAACUUUUAUAUAUAAUAAAUAAUCAUUAAAUUUUAUAAUAAAAACAAAUCCCGGGACGGGUUAAGAAAUUACGGAACGGGUUAUAUUUUGGAAUGGUUUUAUAUGGCGGACGAAUUUAAUGAUUUUAAACUAUAACUGUACUUAAUAACAAUUUUAAACUAUAAUAUAAAUAAAUAUUUUAUAAGGAGAUAAAUAUUUUAUAAGAAGAUAUCUCUUUAUCUCUUCAUUCAUUUUCUCUCAUCCAUCCUUUCUCUCUCUCGAAACUUUAAGUCUCGUCGUCUUCUUCCUUUGUUUCGAGGACUGAGUUUGCUCCGGUGAGAUUGCUAAUCGGCGUCGCCUCAUAUCACAAGUAACUGGGUAUCCCAUAGAUCCGAAUCCGAAGAGGCGAAUUAUCACUUUCAUUCUCUCUCAAAACCAAUUGAUUUUUCCUUAAUUCGUUUAGAUCUCUCUGUUUUAACCUCUGCUUUCUUUUUUUCGCCAUUACGAUUUUAUUUCUAAUUUAGGCUUUCGUCCUCAAAUGUCCUUAUACACAUCCUUAGAUCUGCAUGUAUCUUCACCUCUUUGACGUAGAUCCACUGUUAGACACCCAUAAUUUUAUUUGGAGCUUCAUACAUAAAUUGCAUGUCAUCAUCAUCCGUUUAUUGAUCUAUAUUUCUAAUAAAUUGGCUCCUCUGUUUUGCAGGAAAAUGGCAGAUAUUGACCUUUCUUCUAGGCUUUUGCGGACUGAGAAGAACCUGCCGGUGAUCUUGUUAACAUGUACUUUAAGCUUAAUAUCAUCAAAGCCGUUCUAAAGGCCCUGGCUCCCAAGAAGAUCGAAACCAUUCGACCUAGCUUUGAGAAAAUCAUGGAUCUUUACUGAAAGCCGGUGUUCUCCGAGAAGUUGGCCCACAAUGAUGAUUCCGAGGGAGCAUGUUGAGAUGAUUCGGGAUUUGGAUGUGUUUUUGAAAUAUCCUUGGGGUCGGUACAGUUUUGAUAUGACGCUGCAAUGCAUUAAGUCUAGAUCUUUACUUCAAUUGGCUUAGGCCACUGUUGCCAUCCAAGGUUUUAUACACGCUUUGGUCCUUGUAUUUGUGGAGGCUAUGCCGGCCAUCCUUUCAGUAGGUUGUGAUAGAACCGAACCAGAAUCCGACGAUGAACAUAUGUUCCCUGUAAUUUCUUUGAAAUUAGAUAAAGUGUGGGAAUUGGAUGGAGAAGCUCAUGUAUAUUAGACCUCUACGUGUUUAUAUAAAUGUCCAUUCAGUUUUUGUCAUGCGUUAUUUGUUUAGAUAUACGGCUAUAUCCCUUUUUAACGUCUAUCAACCGCUUUUAUAGGUCGAUGUUCUGUCUAUCAUACCUUCGGCUGAUGUUGUCACUGGGGUGGAAGAUUGCGGUUGGGUUGAUGAGGUAAGUGACCCCAGUGUUCAAGUAUUGUUAAAGCGCCUUGAAGAAGGUGUCAAGUUCAGCCGUUAGAUGUUUAUUGGUUGUAUUAGAGGUUGGGGUCAAUAUUCGAAGGACAAUUUUCCGCUGCACCCGUUGACUUUCAUUAGAAACCCAAUGAGGGUUGUGUAUUUUAUUAUAAUCUACCUAUGUUUUCUUUUGGAUUAUUCCUCUAUCCUCCUUCUUUAUUUUGAACUGUUGUUCUACCAGUCUUUCAUCUUCUGAACUAGUAGUAUCUGUAUUUUUCUUUCAAUCUGUUGGUUAUACCUUCUAACCUUUUCUGGCUCUACGUUUUAACUUUUCACGCGAUAUAAAUGGUCAUUCAUUAGCUAUAGAUAGCUAUAUUUAUAAAUACAUGUAUAUCUAGUUAUGUACAACUACAUAUUCAAUGAGUUUUACUCCUCCUGUUAGAUAUGUAGACGUCUAUAUUAAAAUGUGUAUGUCUAAGCAGCUCUUAUGUUGGACAUGCGCAUGUGGGGCGCGUGAGGGUCAGUUACUUGGCAAGCAUUUAAUAUAUGUCAUUUCAAUUGUACUUUUAUGUCAGAAGCCAAACCCACGCGCAUACGUUUUACGCUUCCUGGUUAUUUUGUAAAUAACUUCUAAAAGUGACCCUUUUCUAACUUUUGAUAAUACCUCUUUGCCGACAGCUUCUGAUAAUACCCUUCCCCUAAUUUGUGUUCCCAUUUUUACUUCUGCCCAAAUUCACUCAUUAUAUUAUUUGGUUUGUCAAAAUGAUGCUAUGUUCUAAGUUUAUUAAAAAAUUUGGUGAAUGGAAUAGUCGACUGUAGGCCUGGGCACAAAUAUGGAUCCACGUAGAACCGAACCGAACCGAAAUUGAUGGGUACGGUUCGGUUCUGGUUCUAGUGAAAAUAUCGAUUGGAUCUUAAAUCAAAGAACCAUGGGUAUCGGUUCGGUUCGGGUAAGAACCGAUAUCCAUUCGGGUACCCAAAAAAUAUAGCACAUUAACCUAUAUUUAUAUAACCCAAAGUCUCAAAUCCAUCUAGACAUAAACCUAGCUACCCAAGCCUAACAACCAACCAUAUAUCUCUCUUAGCCUCUUAUAUAUUUCUCUGAAACCUAAAGAGAAGCCCUAGUUUGUUCUCUCUUUCUCAAAGAAGGAGACGCCGCAGACAACAACUCUCUUUUUCGAAUCAUUGCAAAUCAAAGACAAAGCUUCUUUUGGUGUCUUUAAAACUUGUGUUUUGUGGUAUUUUGAAACUUUGGGUGUCUUUUGACUUAAUACUUUCCAAGUUUCAACUAUUUUUGAAUCUGUAAUGGUAUGAUGACUAAUAUGUGAUGUUGCAUUGCAUACUUGCAUAAUUGCAUUUGAAUUUUGCAUUAUAAUUCUAUUGUUUUUUCGAUUUCAAAAAUAUCCGAAACAGUUUGGUUCCUAUUCGGUUCCAAAAUGUAUUACCCGAACCGAAUAGGAACCGAACCAGAACCGAACCGAUAUUGAUUUGGUUCCAAUAUAGUUCCUAAAUCUCAGAACCAAAAUACUUGGAACCGAACCGAAUACCCAAACGUCCAGGCCUAGUCGACUGUAUAUUUUACACGGCAGAGAUUAGUCUAAAAAUCUGAAUGACUUCCGAUUACUAAAAAAAGGUUGUACAAUAAACAGCCACACAAUGUAAACGUAAAAUGACCACAUGCAUGAUGGGCCAAUAGACAUAGACCGACUACCAUUAAUAGAAAGUUACAUAGGAAACUUCUCUUAAAGAUCAUACCGACAUCAGUUUUAAAACUUUAAAGAAUAAGAAAAAAGAAAAAAAGAUCAUACCGACAUCAGUUCCAAAAAAACAAAAAAAAAAGAUCAAGCCGACAUAGACACGUGUAGAGAGCAAAAUGACUUUUGACGUCACACCACGAAAACAGACGCUUCAUACGUGUACAUUUUAUCUCUCCCAGUCUCUCUAUAAACUUUAGUGAAACCCUCCUCUGUUUUACUCACAAAUAUGCAAACUAGAAAACAAUCUUCAGGAAUAAAGAAUUUUAUUACUUCCCUUGGAAAGAAAAAAAUCUUUGGCAGAUGGAUCAAACCGCGGAACCACCACUCAACACACACCAGCAGCAACCAGGUAAUAUAUCAUAUUCCUUGUAGUUAAGUAGAUUCUAGUUUUAGAAACUUUGGUUUGUUUCUUUUUAUGUGACAUUCCACUUAAUUUACCAAAUUUUAUUGUGAUUUGUGGAUACAGAAGAAGUUCAACAUCAUGAGAAUGGUGCGUCUAAGAUGUUUAGGAAAGUAAAGGCAAGAGCUAAGAAGUUCAAGAACAAUAUUACUAAACAUGAUCAAAGCAAUGAGCAUGAUCAUGAUGUAGUUAAAGAAGAUGAUGAAGAUGACGAGCUAGAACCAGAAGUGAUCGAUACACCAGGUUACUUUCUUUUAUAGUUUCCUUCAAUUUAUGAUCUAAAACUAGUGGUUAUUUAACUUUGUGUGAGAUUAACGGUUUUGUAAUUGUAUAUGCAGGUGUAAAAGGUAAACCAGAGUCUCUGAGUCAUCCGAGAGAAACUAAAGUUCCGGCAGCGGAGGAGAUUGUUCCUCCAGGGAAAAAGGUGUUUCCUGUCGCGUCUUCCGAUUACACCAAACCCACUGAAUCUGUACCAUCACAGGAUACCUCUUACGGACACGAUGCACCGGCUCAUUCUGUAAGAACGUCGGUUACAUCGGACAAGGAAGAGAGCAGAGAGGCUCAUCACGAGGCAAUGGACACUCCUCUGCUUUCUGCAACAGAGGAUAUCACGAGGACGUUUGCUCCUGCUGGUGAAGAUGAUUAUCUUGAUGGUCAACGGAAAGUCAACGUCGAGACACCGAUCAAGUUGGAGGAAGAUCCGGCUGUUACAGGAGGAGGGUCUGAUUAUCUUAGUGGUGCAUCUAAUCAUCAGUCCAAAGUUACUGAUCCCACCAAAGAAGGUAAGAACUUUGAGCAUUUAAGGUUCUGUUUUUUUAGGGUUUAUGAAUAUGUAGUAACUCUGUUCUGUUCUGUUGUGUUUGAUAUAGGAAGUGGAGAAGCUAGAGUACCGGAGAUUACUGAGUCUCUUGGUAAUAUGAAAGUGACUGAUGAGUCUCCUGAUCAGAAACCACCACAAGGAUUUGAAAGAGACUUGUCGACGAGAAGCAAAGAAUUCAAAGAAUUUGAUCAGGACUUCGACUCUGUUCUCGGUAAGGAUUCGCCGGUGAAAUUUGCAGGUGAAUCAGAAGCUGAGCUAGAAAAAGAUUUUCCGAUGAGAAGCCAUACAGAAUCUGGAAUCGACAAGAAUUCUCCGACGGGCUUUGGUGGCGAAUCAGAAGCUGAGCUAGAAAAAGAUUUUCCGAUGAGAAGCCAUACAGAUUCUGGAAUCGACAAGAAUUCUCCGACGGGCUUUGGUGGCGAAUCAGAAGCUGAGCUAGAAAAAGAUUUUCCGAUGAGAAGCCAUACAGAUUCUGGAAUCAACAAGAAUUCUCCGACGGGCUUCGGUGGCGAAUCAGGAGUUGAGCUAGAAAAAGAUUUUACGACG
rnacentral:lncRNA from 1 species